AUCUUUUGAGUGAUGGAUUUAACAUGAGAGCUUAUGGUCAGUCAAUUUCCUCUGCCUAGCAAUAUAAGCUUUCUCGGCCAGAUUUAUCAUCAAAUACAUAGAUUGCCCCCAAGUCACAUCCAUAUAAACAUAGUUUUUCUAGGUAAACCAAGUAAGGAGUAUCAUAAUUCAGACAUAAUCAUAAAAAGGCCCAUCUAAAUUAAGAGAAAAUCUCAAAAAGAGGGAUGCUGAGCUAUCAGUCUUGUAUCUAUAAGCAAUAUCAAGACUUUACAUCACCUGCUACAUCGUGAGUGGCUACACAACUUUCAGUGGUUUGUCUUUCUUUGGCACGCCUAACUCAGCUUUGAUGUUAGUGAGAUAUUGAUAGUAGAGACACAUGAUACUUCUAGCUCAUGCAUUCUAUCUAACCCAUCCAACAACUAUCUCUUUUUUAAUUCAUUAGUGUUUGCUAAACCUCAUGCUUAAAAGUCCUAUUCUCCUUAGCACCACAGUUGGACACUUGUAGAGCAAUUUUAUUUGGGGGAAAAGAAUUUUCAAGGUGUUAACUAAUAAAUUUUAAAAAAUAAUUACAAUUUGUCCUACGAUCAUAUGACAAUUUAUCUGGGAUGAAAGGAUACAGAUAGACAUCUUCCACUUUCAAGACUAAUCACUACUUCCAUAGAUGUUGUGCAAUAAUACAAAUACUUGACCAGAUGGUAGUGAUGGUAGAAAAAAAUUUUAUUGCUCCAAAAUUAAAAUAAGAAUGCAAUAUGUUAAGCAAAAGGCUGUGCAACAUCAAAUUAAUUGAUAAGUUUGUAAUUCAGUAAAUUAACAACUUUCGUGGUAAAAUACAACAAAUUUCUUUUGAAAAAAAUAAAAAAAAUAAAUCUUAAAAGACAGCAUUCAAUUUUGUGCGCAUCUUAUUUCUUAAGAUUUUUCAGGAGGAGGGCAAUAGAGGGACUUUCACCUAUGCAAGAGAGCAGAAGCCUUACUUUCCCUAUAAAGUAGACGUCAUUCUGAUUAAUAUGCGUUUGCAAAUCAGCUCCGUUUGAAUCAGUAUUCUGAUAGACACACGAGCCAUUUACAUCCAUUUCCAAAGUCACAUGUUGCGAGGAGGACUCAUUUGAUUGCUCCUAUACGAUCAUCUAAUUCAAGUAGCAAGGGUUGGAAGAGAAUAAAAAGUCACAAUUAUUCUUUUGCAUAAGUGAGACGAAAAUGAUAAAUGCAAUAUUAUCAGCAGUAAACAAGAAGAGAACGCUCCAAGAAAUAGAUAGAUGCAGACAAGCAAGUUAAAAUGCAUAGUCCCAAACCUCCGCAUACAACUUCUCUAAAAUAGCAAUAACGUGUUGAUGCUAUGUUUUCUCAGCAUCUACCUGCAAAGGCCCGAGACCAGGAAAACAACAAUAAAACCACUAGCUGAAGGAGAAAGCAAAGAAAGAAAUACACUUGACAUAAAUCUUGACAAGAAGCACAAUUUAAGACAUAACAAACCCCAAUCAUAUUGUUUAGAACUACCAUUCGUUAUUUCGUUAUUGUAACAUUUCGAACAAGUGUUGACUUAAUUCAACAUUGUUGGAAAGAUGGGCUUUUAGAAGCAGAAGAAAGCCUCUCAAACCAAAGUGCUUGUCCUUGUAUUGAUCAAGGGAUGUAAACAUAUUACAUUUGCAGGAUGAGAUUUAAUCACUCCCCUGAUUUAUUUGGGUUGCAGUAAAACUAAGCGAGCAACUGUUUGACUUCCAAGCAACAGCUAAAUCAGCUAUUAAAAUUCAAAUAAAAUCAUAAUAGAAUAAUAACAGGCCAUCUUGCAUCAAAAAUUAAGUUUAAUUUGUGAAUUGUUUUCUAUAGACAUGUCAGUUUCUGCUAUUGAAAUGUUAAAAGCAUUGAAAAAUUAUUCAAUAAAUUAUGCAAGCAUUAAAAUAGAGGACAUAUUAAAAAGUUUCUAAUUACAAUGUUAAUAUUUCCUAUAUUCUAGCAUUUGCAUAUUUUAAUUUAUUUAAAAGCUACGUCGAUCAACUUUGGGCAUGAAGAUUUUAGCUUCUACGAGACUUGCUUGGAAUAUGCACAAGAGUGUUAAAAUAUGAUGCAUCCAACGAAAGACAAACCACGUGUAGUCUUUUAAUUAAGCCAAAGUAGCAGCUCAAACAAAUGACACUUGGACCAACAUGCAAUCAUGAAGUGGCCGGAAAAAGGACAAAUGCUACUUUGGCUUAAAUAAAAAAUAACAUGUGACUUGACUUUUGCUGGACAUGCAUCAUGUUAUUACAAGACAACAGAAAUCAGUAUGAUAGUACUAAAAGUUGACAAUAACAUGAAGAUAAGAGGCAGACUGUCAACACAUGCAUAGGCACACACAAGAAAGUAUUAACUUCUAUACCAUAGCAAAAAGUCUUUGAUAUGUCAUCUGUUGCUGCUGUGAUUCAACUGACAGCAUGGCAGCUGUUGCUUCUCUACCAAGAGCCAUUAUUGUAGAUUUAAGCUCCGUCUAUCUUGCUUCUGCAUUUCGAAGCUUCACAGCACUCUCUGCUGAUAUAUCAGAUUCCCUAAUCUUUGAUCGGCGCCUAAAUACUUCAGCUGCCUGGUGAAAAUAUUCAAUAUAAAUCUAACAUAAUUCUAAUCUUGCCUUAUACAUGCAUAUGUUACCUCAAAGCUUACCUGGGCUUCAACUUCAUGUCGAAGUUUGUCAUAACGAUGAGUCAGGUGUCGAGCAUCUUCCAAAGGUGUUCCGUUGAUUAACGCCCGUAGUGGCUCAGGUACCUACAUGUCCAAAAACCUGUAACAUAGUUAGAAAAAUGAAAAGAAAGAGCGAAACCUCAAUUAAAAAGUUCCUCCAACAUAAUCAUGGAAUUUGGGCCUACUUCAAGGAUAUAUAUAAGGAUAAUUUAUGCAAUUUUGGGUCUGAGGAUGAUUCAUAUUAGGUUAGUGUUCUUCUCUUCUGUAUUUAAGGUUAAAAUAGAAAUAAACCUAUGAAAAUAUCUAAAUUAGGGCUGUAAGACUUCCACAUGCAUCCUUCAGUCUCAUGGAUUUGAUUUUACUAUAGAUGCAAGUGUCUUUAAAGAAAAUGCUUGGAGUCAAUUGAGAGAACUCACGGCCAAAAACUUGUCACACGCUAGUCUUUGCUAGUGAUGUAAGAAGUCACAGGGUCUCUUCAACAUUUGAACCAAUAAAAUUAUUAAGUCAUGGAUGUCACUAGCAAUGAUUUUAAUAUAAAACAUUAAAUAUUUCAGAGUUGUAACUUUAAAAUGGAUUCUUUUAUUCAAUAUCAUAGAACUAAGUUUCCUUAUGAGAAGAUAAUAGUUUCGAUAAUAAUUUUACAUAUAAUUUUCUAUAUUUGAAUUAUUUUCUAGUUAGGGAUGAACUAACCUGAUCACGAAGAAUCCCGAGCAAAGUUUCCCUCUCAUUUUCCAUCAAAUCAUGUGAAGUGCCAAAUUGAAGAGCAGCUCUUGCAACGCAAGAAUUGUCACUUUGAUUCUCUGCUCCAUACUUGCAACAAUCUUCAGCCAACUUUCUCGCUACAAUAUUUGAAUACAAAAAUAUUGUACACAAGAACUAUAAAAAACUAAUGAAAAAUGCCAAGAUGGAGCAGAUGCUUCAAUACUGCCCGUACAAACCAUAAAAAACUAAUGAAAAAUAAAUAAAAUCAAGAAAUUUUACUAAUUAAAAGUCUAAAUAUAAUUUUGAAAAAAGAAAAGAAACGGACUUGCUGCUGCUUGGCGACUUGUUCUCGGAGCUUGAUUGCUUGUUUCUUGAUAGCUUCCAUACUGUUUCUUUCAAAAAGCGACGACGGCUCAGCUCAUGGAAGUGGAAAAAAAAAGUGUGAUCGAGAAAAAUGAAAAGGCGUGAAUAAUUUUUGACAAAAAGCGAAAAUCAAGGAAAGCCGGCUCUUUCCAGAAAAUAAAAAAAGAAAAAAGAAAAUCAUAAGUUUGAAAGGAGAAGAUGAUAGUGGAAGUAUGCAGUGUGGCUGCCAGGUACUUGGAUUGUAUUGUCGGGUAAGGUAAAAGUGGAGAAUUAUAAGUUUGAACAGAGCAUGUUGGACUUUUGUUGACCAAAUUCAAAAGCCCAAUGGGACGGUCCAGAAGCUUUUGAAUAGAAAAACUUGCUAGAAAGCAUCAGUUUAAAUCACUACUUAAACGCUUGCUUUAACUGCACCGCUUUGUACUGUUUUAUGUAUGUAGCGGUUGUGCGGUUGUAAUUCACGGCUGACGCUACGUGUUUGUUUGUACUGUUCUAUUCGGUGACAGAGUAUUAUUAGUUAGGCCAAAACUAUGUUGCAACAGUGGUACAAUAGCACUGUUGUUUUCAGUCAUUAGAUCUAUAGUUGUACAGUUGCAUUAACAAGAUCCAAUGGUUGAAAACAACAGUGGUACCGAACUACUGUUGCAACAUAGCUGGACCCUAUUAGUUAUUUCAAAGGGAUAAAUAAGAUUGGUUACAACAAACCUACUAAUUUUAUAAAAUUCAAGUAAUAUAGAAUAAAAUAAAAAAAUAAAUACAAAAUUGACUUUUAUUUUUUAUGGUUGACUAUAUUUUGUGUUCUCUUCGGGCACUGCUACAAUUCUUCCCUAUAUAUCAAUUACACCACAUACUAUCGACACAAGAAAUGAAAUCUAAUAUCACCUAUUUAGUUAAAAAAUCACUCAUGAAAAAAUUUUACCAUUUUGAUUUGAGGAUCCAUAUUUUGAACUACAAGCUAAUGUUCAUCAAGAAUCACUGAUGGCCGUUGAGUAGAAAAAUUAUUUUUGGACAAAUUAUUUUUGUUGAUAGAAGAAUUUCUUUAGGGACUACUAAAUUAUUAAUAAAAAUAUCGAACACACCCAAAUAUCAUCGACACAAUUGAUUUUGAGGAUCCAUGCUUUGAACUGCCGCCUAAUGUUCAUCAAGAAUAGAGUAUGGCUUGUGAGUAUAAAAUUUUCUUAUUUUGGCCCGAAAUAAAAAAAAAUUAAAUUGGAUGAGAAUCUGCCACUUUCUCAUGAAGAAAGGCAUACGGAGCAUACCAUGGUACCAUACAAUAUAAGGAGCCUCCGUUCUUUGGUUUUUCAAACUCUGAAGGGGCCAAUAUUGCCAAAUUCCCCCUUGAAAAUUCUGAUUACGACAUUAUUCAUCGCUUGAUGCAAUCAAAGUAGUGACAAAGUAAUUGCUAGGCAAGGUUGCUGAGAGCAAAAUUGUCCUAAGCAUUAUAUGCAUACAUGGUGCGGUACAUAGAGCACGUUGAAUUCCCCACUAUAACACAAAUCCAGAAAGACAAGUAAUAACUCAACUGAUAUAAAGACAAAAAGAAGAUAAAAUGAUAUAGAACAAAGAAUUUCAAAGAGACAGCAACAUACGAUAGACUGAAGCCACUUGAUCUGCUCAUUGAUUGCAGCCUUAAACUUGCAAAUAGUUACUGUACGCUAGUGCUCUAAGAAGUGAAAAUGAUGCAAGCCCUGAUUCCCUUUUGACUUCCAUUUACUGUCAAACAUUCUAGUAAUACAAAAAAUUGUUUAGAUAUCUUGCUAUAAAUAUAGCCGUUUGACUGUCAUAAUAAAGUCACAAAUAACCAUUCAUAUUGAUCUACUAUCACACAGCAUGCUUUAUGCAUACAACAGCUGUAUGUAUACCAACUCCUAACCUUAUCAACACAUUUGGCAAAAACUUAGGAAGAAAACUAUUUCUCCAUCUCUUUUUUGAAAUUUCACAAUAACCAGCACAAUGUGAAAGCUAUGUUCUAACCUUAUGAUAAAUGCUCCAGACUCCAAAAGGAUUUUAUAUAUGAGAGUUUGUUGCAGCAGAUAUAUUGACUUAUCAAGUAUGAAUCAUUGUCUGGAUGAACUAUCUUUAGAUAAAAGAAUAUUAGAACCACUGUAGAAUAUCUUUACGCUGCUGGUUCUAACAGGAAUCUGCAUGUGGCAACAAUUGCUAGAUCCACAACUCCCCAACUUGAAAUACAUAGUUGCACACCAUGAGAUAGUGCUACAAUCUACUGAGAUCUAACUUAUAUGGUACUUUAAGCUACUAAUGUUUGCAUAUUUCUACAUGUUAAAUUAACACUAUUAUCUAUAAUCACUCCAAAACAACAAAUGAUAAGCAACUUUUGGCCACUUAUUACUAGCAUCCACAAUUAUAAAUAAGAGAUCAUGGGUUUACUUGUUGCACCUACUUAAUUAUCUGCAGUUGACAUCCUGACGCAAGGUUUAAAUAGUGACUGCUUAGAACCCUUGUAGUUGGAUCUUGACCUCUCCCAUUGUAGCCAAGAUUGGUUACUCUGGUAAUGAAUCAACACUCUCCUGCUCAGGGCCAUGAAGAUCUGAAAGCUCAGCACUAGUGGAGAACUUCAUCAAUCUCUUCUUCUCAGCAUACUUGAGACAAGGCUGCCUUACGAGACCAAUCACCAUAGCACCAACGCUUAAAACUGCAACUUUUAAAGAAGAAAGAGCCAACACAACACAACACAACACAAAUCAAUAUGGUUGGAGGAAUACACAUGAUAAUGGCUCCAACAGUGACAGUGGGUAUCUUGUAGGGACGAGAUGCAGCAGGAUAUUGCAUCCUUAACCAUACAAAUGCUAUGAACUCCAUAAUCAUUCCAAAACAGUACAGGAAGUUCUCUGCAGCUACAAUAUCUCAAAAGCUCAGCCAUGAUAGCAAAACCACACCGGAUGCUGAGAAUAUGAUUCCAAUCAAAGGAGUCCCAUAACAAGACCUCUUAGCAAAAAACUCAGGUAGCGUUCCACGCUCAGCCAUCCCCAAAAGUUGGAAAGAGUCGCUGCUCAUCUCAGCCACAAACAUGCCCAUAUUGGACAUUGCUGCAGCCCCCUGGAUGCACCAUCUCAACCAAACUCCUCCAAGCACUUUAGCGAUAUCUGAAAAGUAACCAUCGGUCCACAAGUCGCGAUCUAAUGGAAUAGCUCCAGUUCCAACUAGAAGGGGAAAGAAAUAUCCAAAAACGACCAAGAUCAAAGCAUAAAACAAAGCCUUUGGAAGAGUCUUCUUUGGGUUAUCCACCUCUCCAGCUAGUUUACUUAUUGAGUCCCAGUAGUUGGAGAUUCCAAAACAGGGUGUUCAAAUACAAAUUCCAGUCCACUUCACCUAAAUUUACUACAAGCCAUCUUGAAGGCUCUAACUUGGGAAGGGACACAAGUCCCAUAACCACAAAAGGAAGGAAUGAGAAAAUCUCUAAAAGAACAGCAGCCCAUCCCACAAUGGUUAGACCCCUAUAGUUCAUGAAAGUGAGAACAAAAGUCAAAGCUAACGCCGCAAAGGCUCUAGGUAACCCAUCGCCCAAAGCAGGGAUAUACCAGACUUCAAGUAGUCAAGAAACAGAACUGGGUAUAAAGCAUUAUCAAUAACCCCACUUAGCCAUUUCAUCCAAACUUGCUGAAAACCCCAAUAUGGGCCUAAGGCAGAUGAAACCCAAACCACAUAACCACAAUUUUCAGGAAACACGGUACCCAUCUCGGCAGUAAUUAAAGCUUCAGGGACACUCCAUAUAAUCGGAAACACCAAGAAACCAAGAAGUGCUAAAAGAGGACCAGCUGCCUUUACACUAUCCUCAACACCAAACGCCCCCCCAGAAACCUCAUAGAAUAUAAGGAAAAUAAGUGGCAAGAUUGAUACUUUUUUAGCGCCAUGGACUCUAGGAGAAGAUGGUUGGUCAUUGAUAUUAACAUAUUCAACAGCAUCAGACUGCCCCAUUUCUACUGAAAGUUGCCUAUUCACAGUGUUCCUCAAUUUCUGCAUCAAGUUUAAGCAUAACUAUCAAAAGGGUAUCGGCAUCUAAAUUAUGAAACAAAAUGAGCAUUUACUUAUUAAAAAAAUUCAAAAAAACAGAAAUGGAUUUCACAGAACACAUGAAUUUAAGUUCAACAUUAAACAGGCGCUUAAGAAAACAAAAGGGUCUGGUCGUAAAGCCAUCAGAUUGCAAGAUUGAACAACAUUAACGGAAUCAAUAGAAUCGAUGUAAAGAGAUCUGAAAAGAAAAUAAAAUAAAAGAUGAAGAGGGAUAAAACGACCCAUCAAAUAAGUGCAUGCAGAGCAGAGAGGCAGAUACUAGAGAAGCUCCGUCAUGUUAGAGAGAGCCUAAAUCAAUCAGAGCUCACUGAGUUUCUUUUCAACUGACCGGCAGAUUUGGAGUAGCAUAACAUAAUAUUUUUGCUUUUAAUUUUCGGAACACUUUUGAAUGGAAUUUUUUGUUUUUCAAAACUAACGAAAUCGUAAAAAUAAAUAAACACGUGUUUGGUUUUGGGCUUCUUCUUUUGUUCAUUUAAUAUCAUUUGGUUCCCUGAUUUUUGACUAAUUAUCAACGGUAUCCUGUUAGUUUCCAAAUUGAAAUAAUAUUAGGUCAUGAGAUUAUUUACUCCAUUUAGCAAUGUAGACUUAAUAGUGUAUUGAAAAAGCUUUGUCAAAUAGUAGUAAUAGGGGCAUAAGAAAUAAGUUCUUCAGAAUUUAGAUAAUAUACUUGGCUCUAGGAAGAUUCCCCUCUUAUCACUCAAGUUAGGCUUUUACCUUAGAGUUGAGUAAAUUAUUAAAAUAAAUUAUAGCUAUCACAAAUUCGUCAGGAGACUUUCAAUUUUUUUCCAUCAAAUGGCAAUGAGGCAAAAUUACCUCAACUUAUAUUUCAAAACUAAUACUUCAAAUUCUGACAAUAAAUUUGAUGACAGUCAAUUUUAUGUAUAGUAAUUUUGACUCUUUUGUUUGGUCUAAAAGUAAUUAUUUAAAAUGACAAUAUAACUUAUUUAGAAGAAAUGGUAAACUUAUAGUUCGUAAUAUUAUUUACACAAAUAAUAAAGACUAAUUUGAUAAUAAUCUUUCAAAUAAUAAUGAAGUGUUAAUUACUAUUUAACAUUUUUGAUUAAUUUCUAAAUUUAAAACAAAUAUGAAAGUUGAUUGCUUUGAAGGUUGGAUCGUGACAAAUUGACAAAUGAAAAGAGAAGUAGAGAAUAUAUAUUCUGAUGAAAGGGACAAGAUUCAGCAAGGGGACAAUAUUCUCUAUUGGACCGACAAAUGGGGGAAAAGAAUAUAUAUAUAUAUAUAAUUUCUUAUUUGUGGAUUGGCCAACACGUGUAACAAAUAUGAAAAGAUAAAAUUUGGCGUGGUUUUAACCGAUAUAAGACAAGAAGAACAAAGCAAAGCCCAUGAAAAUUCACCUUUCAUGUGGGUUGGAUCGGAUAAAAUCAAUAUCUUGAAUCAAACAAAAUGUUUGGUACAUAAAGUUUUUUUUUUUUACAUGAUAUUAGAUUUUUAUCCCUCGAAUUUUUACAUGAUAUUAGAUUUUUAACCCUCACUAAUAUUCGAGAGAUAUCUACUCCUCAUUUUUGGGUAAGGGAGAAGACUACCUUCACUCAAUUAUAAUUAAGGAAUGAAAUACCCCCACAUUACACUUGUAGGGGUUCAAACUGUUGCCCUCCAACUUGGAGUGCAGCAGCGCUGACCACUCGGCCAAAGUCCGAGUGGCUGGUACAUGAAGGUUUUGAGUGUGUGUAAUGAGCCAAAAUUUACAUAAGGAUAUUUUAGUAAAUAUAAGAAAAAAAGGCUCAGGGAAUGGCCUAUAGAUAGAAGCACGCAGCCCAUGAGUGAUGAGAAUACAAUUUAACUGUUCAAACUAAUUAGAAGCAAAUUCUUUCAUAUCUUUCUUUAAUUUUUCCGCUUAGUUCCUUAGCAUCCAAUCAAGUUCAAGUUAAAACACUGUUGAGACAACAAUAUGCAGGCAUCAAUAAGCAUAGUAGUUUUUUAUAUGUAUUCUAUACGACAAUUAUAGAACUUUUUGCAGCAACUUUUUUUCAUUAACUAAUGUUUGAAGAACUUGUUAAAAAAAAUGGUAAAUUUAUAAUUUUGAAAAAAAAGAAAGAAAGUGACGUUACCUCAUCGUCAUUAGAGACUUGUUGCAAUGAUAGCUCAAAAUUAAAAUUUUUGAAGAAUUAGUAGACGACGAUGAUGUAAUAUUUAUACAGUCACCAACAUGUUGAUUUUUGUUUAAUGUUUGAUCGAUAGAAACGCUUGUCGUCGUCGCUGUUGUUGAAUUCAUACAUAGAACACAGAAGAGAAGGAGGGAGGAAAGGGAAGAGAAGAAGAGAGAAGUGGCAUAUAGCAAAUAUGAUAUGCUAGCUGCAUACCAGCCUUAGAGAGAUUUUUUUUAAUAUUUAUUAUAUUUUUGUUUUUGUUAUUGGUUUGUCAUAUGCUUCCAGGGAAGCAAUACGUUACAUCAUAAAUUGCACCUUUUAGGGGAGGUGGUAAAAAACGUGAGAGCACUACGCUCCAGCGCAUACAUAUAGAAAGAGUUUUCGAAUUUUAAAAAGUUUCUUUAUUUCUUCCAUGUUUUUGUGCUUAAAAUAAAAUUUAAUUGUAUUUUGCAUUAACUUAGAAAAGAAAAGCCAGUUCUAUAUAUAAACUCAUGCAUUAAUUAGAAGAGUUGAACUAUUGGCACCCCUCUAUAAUCUUUAUAAAAUUCCUCUCCUAUUGUAAUUACAUUAAAGGACAAAAUAAAUCUAAUUAUAUCAUUAUAUUUCUCUUUUCAACUCUUUACACCCGUGCAACUACACCAAAGUCUUUUACAAUUUUUGUUUCCUCACAAACAACUUUUUCUUGAGAGAUUUACAAAACUUAUUUUUAAUUUUAAAAAAUAAAUAAUAGUUAUUUGAGUCCACUUUAAUUUACAAAACUUUCUAAUAAUAAGUUUUGUAGACUUAUUUUUCAUUUACAAAACUUUCUGAACUUAUUUUUAUUUUUAAAAAAUAAAUAAUAGCUAUUUGAGUCCACUUUAAUUCUACUUAAUUCAUACAUGUAUUUGAUUUUUUUGAGUAAAAUAUGUAUGAUUUAAUAAUUCAAAAAUUUAUAAAAACAAUAUUUGUAAUUGGAGUUAUUUGGAAGAAACUGAAUUGUUUUUCUUUUUGAAUAAAAAAAAGCUGAAAAAAGAAAAAGGAUAUUUUAGGAAUUAAAAUAGAUUUUGAUAGAAAAGGGGUUUGAACAGAAAAUUACAGGGUGCUAAUAGUCCCACUCUAAUUAAAAAAUGAGUUCAUGUGGAUGCAAAUGUACAAUAAAAGAGAUUCUCUUUUGUAUAUUGGAAGUAACAUAACUAGUGAGUAUAAUAUGUAAAUACAAGUUACCAAGAAUUUGCACUAGUGCUAAUUAAUGGCACAACUUUUGAGCUAUGAAUUUCUUCUUGAUAGUUUAAUUAUAUUUUUGAGUUUUCGGUAAACCUAUUUUAAUAAUUAUUAAAUUAUUUUCACUUCUUACGCCUUAAUAAAAAAAAAUCAAUAUUUUCUGGUCUAUUCUAUAUUUUGAAACUUAAUUUUUAAUUCUUUAUAUUGCAAACCAAACUAAGUCAAACAGAGUAUGCUCUUCAAAGAAUUUUUCCAUUGGCCAUUGCCUUCAAGAAGAUUUUAUUUUAUUUUUAUAUAUUAAUUUAACAUUUUUCCGUGCACUUGUAAACCGGGCCGUCGGAUUCCACAUAAAGCAAAUGAUCAAACCGUUACAAGACCGACCCGGACCCACUGACUCUCAUUUUCUUUCAUUUGACCAUUAAAAGCUUUUGACCACCCCCGCCAAAUAAAUAAAUAAGCUCUUGUUCUCUUUUGUUCCUUCUUAAAGGAAAAUAUAUCUGAUCACCAGAUAAUGAUUCCGGUGUCACAAAAUAUCAAGACAACCCCUAAAUUCCCUUAAAUUUACGAUAACACCCCACCAUGGAUGAUUCCGUUGAAAUGCCGCCUUACGAUGAAAGGCCUUAGAAGGGUUUUAACUUCACACCCAUGCGCUUGAUCUUAACCCUCAUUUUCCCAAUUUUAACUUUCUUUUCGUUGGCAUUUUUGAUCGAGAUCGUUACUGUUUUAUUCGGCGAAUCAUCAGUUUCGAGUUCCAUUUUUGUCCCUUCCCAGUGCAAGAUAGUGCCAGCAGUAAGCUUUUUUAAAAUUUUCAAUUUUUUUCCAUUUAUGAAGCUCAAAAAUUUUAUUAAUUUUUGAAUUUUUUUUGAAUGAUUUUGCAGGUGUUGAUAUAAGGUCAUCAAAGGUUUGUGAACUUGGAGUGUUGAAUUAUAAGGCGAAGCGUGUGUUUUAUCCAUUUGAAGCAAGUAAAUUUCGCCGUCGAUAUGAUUACUAUUGGGCUUCUAUCUUCAAGGUAUUCAUACAUUUUCUCAACUUUAAUUACUUACCUGUACUAUUAGCUUCUUAGUGGCGGUCUUGUUUUGUGUUUUUGAUGAAUGUGUUUAAGGGUCAGUUUGGGAAUGCUGGUAAUAGGAUGUUGUUAGUGUUUGGCAGUAAAUUUGCUAUGCAUAAUUCAGCAAUGUGCUUGAUUUUGGUUAUUGUCUUUAACAAUUUUUAGGUAGAGUACUUAGAUCAUUCACUGGGACAAACGCAGAGCUUGGUUGACCAAAGAUAAGUUCCAGGCUGGGGUCGGCAAUGCAGAGCUUCUGCGUGUAUUAAAAUUUGAAGCCUAGUAAAUGAAUUUCUAAUUUAUUUAUAGUGUUUGUUUUAUCUUGAUAGAAAUGAAUGCUAACUCAAGAUUUUCCCAACUUUGAUUACUUACCUGUACUAUAAGCUUCUUAGUGGCGGUCUUGUGAGCGGUGUGGCUGACAGCUUCUUGAAAAUUAUAAGUUUGAACAGAGCAUGCUAGACUUUUGUUGACCAAAUUCGAAAGCCAAAUGGCACAGCUCAGAACCUUUUGAAUUGAAUAACUUACUAGAAAGCUCCAAUUUUUUGUUGGCUACGGUAAAAGGAUGUUGUUUUAUUCUUCUUAUACUUUACGCUUGCAUCAGCUUAAAUCACUUCUUAAACGCUUUGCUUUAACUCCACCGCUUCAUACUGUUCUAUAUAUGUAUCGGGUAUGCGGUUGUAGUUCACUGCUGAGACUACGUGUUUGUUUGACGUGGUAAUUACGUUACGAGUCUGUUAAACAUUCGGUGAUUAAAGUAUUAUCAGUUAUUUCGAGGGGACAAAAAAGAUUAGUUACAACACACCCACUAGUUUUAUAAAAUUUGAAUAAGAUGGAAUAAAAUAAAAAAAUAAAUAAGUAAAUUGACUUUUAAUUUAGUGGUUGAAUAUAUUUUGUAUUCUCUCGGGGUACUGCUGUAAUUGUUCCUUAAAUGUCAGUCACACCCACAUGUUACAGACACAAGAAAUGGAAUCUAAGAUCACCUGUUUAAUUAAAGAAUCACUCAUGAAAAAAUUUUGCCAUUUUGAUUUGAGGAUCCACAUUUUGAACAACCAACUUAUCUUCAUCAAGAACAGAUCAUGGCCUGUGAGUAGAAAGAUUAUUUUUGGACAAAUUAUUUUUGUUAAUAGAAGAAUUUCUCAAGGGACUAUUAAAAUUACUAAUAAAAAUGUCAGACACACCCACGUACCAUCGACACAAUUGACUAUGAGGAUCCAUGUUUUGAACUGCCACUUAAUGUUCAUUAAGAACAGAGUAUGGCUUGUGAGAAGAAAAUUUUCUGAUUUUGGCCUGGAACAAAAAAAAAUUAAAUUGAAGGAGAAUCUGGUACUUUCUCAUUAAGAAAGGCAGACGGGGCAUACUAUGGUACCAUAAAAUACGAAAAGUCUCCAUUCUCUAGCUUUUUAAACUCUGAAGGGGGCAAUAUUCCCCAAUUACCCCGUGAAAAUUCUGAUUACGACAUUACUCAUCGGUUGAUACAUAAGUACAAGUACUGACAAAAUUAGGAAAAAUAUGACUCAUAAGUAAUUACUAGGCAGGGCUCUUGAGAGCAACAUUAUACUAGGCUUUAUAUGCAUACAUGGUGUGGUACAUAGAGCACGUUGAAUUCCACACUAUAACACAAACCCAGAAAGACAAGUAAUAUCUCAACUGAUAUAAAGACAAAAAGAAAAUAAAAUGAUAUAGAAAAAAGAAUUUCUAAGAGACAGCAACAUACAAUAGACUGAAGCCAGUUGAUCUGCUCAUUGAUUGCAGCCUUAAACUUGCAAAUGUUUACUGUAGCCUGGUGCUCUAAGAAGUGAAAAUGAUGCAAACCUUGAUUCCCUGUUUACUUCCAUUUACCAUCAAACAUUCUAUUCAUAAGAAAAAAAAUCUUUAGAUAUCUUGCCGUAAAUAUAGCCAUUUGAUUGUCUUAAUAAAGCCACACACAACCAUUCAUAUUGAUCCACAUUGCCACAUAGCCUGAUUUAAGCAUACAACAGCUGAAUGUAUACUGACUCCUAACCUUAUCAAUACAUUGGCGACAACUUAAGAAAAAAACUAUUUCUCCAUCUCUUUUUUGAAAUUUCACAAUAAAACAGCACAAUGUAAGAGCUGGAAUGAAAAUGGACCGUUUGGAACUAUGGCGGAAGCUUCAACUAGUGUAGUGAGUUGACCUUCUUAUUAACCUAGCGAGAUCAAACACUGCCCUUGAUCUUGAACAUAUCAAUACGAUACGCACAACUUAUGAUUGAAUCCAGAAACAAUCAAAUCUUUAGCAAGAAUAAUUAAUCAGAAUCAAGAAACAAGUUUAAUGAAUAUAAACCUAUAAUUGGAACAAACACAGCCAAAGAACCCAAGAAUGACACAACGAACACCAAGGGAGAAGCUUUCCAGUGAGAUUAUAUUAAUGAUCAAAGAAGAAUCUUUUUACAAAGAUAACAAAAGAGAUUUCAGAGAAUAAGCUAUGACCCUCUCUCUCUUCAAUCUCUGUCUAGUUUGUUAACAGUGAUGACCCCAAUCUGCUUCGUUAGCCAGCUUCAUAACUGCGUCAGUGACAAACUAGCAAACCCAGAUUGAGCAGACUAACGACACGUGCAUAACGGCUUUAACGAACUUGGUUAAAGAACUGCUCACAUGUUCGUCACGCGUGUUGCUUAAAUGAUAGCCAAAACGACUUCAACCAAAUGCCGUUUUGAAGCUUAUGAAUUAUAAGUGAAAACACGUGCUUGUCUCGUGACAUUUAAAUGCAACAACAAGCCCAAAACACUGCCGGUUCACUAUGUUGAGUUUGCCAUCUCUAAGCUUCACAACUAGCAGCGGACAAGAUGAUAAUUUAAUUGACAUGGAGAGCUUUUAUAUCACUUUUACAACAUUCUAUAUAAUUGUGAUAUUGGGAAUCGUCGGUGUUGUAUAUGUGAACCCUCGUUGGCGACACUGGUGGUUUUAUCUUUAUUGAAAUAUGGAUGACUUUUCGUUACUAUUUUGUUGUACAUAACAUUAUUCUCAGGAGAUUUAAUCAUUGAAAUUAACAUGUUAGUUUCAUUAGAAGGCUGAGUGGUUAGGGCUGCUACCCUCCAACUUGGAGGGCAAUAGUUUGAACCCACAAGCGCAGUGUGGGGGUAUUUCAUUCUUUAAUUACAUUGUAUAAUUGAAUAAAGAUAAUAUUCUCUCUUACCCAAGUGUGAGUGGAGUAGACAUCCUUCGAAUAUUAGCGAGGGUUAAAACUUGGGCAGAGCUCAAUAAGUAUUGAUGUAAGUUGGUCCUAAUAAUAGUCUGAUUUGUAAAUAUCAGUUAUAGUCUCAUGUUUCCUUCCUUAAUUAUAUUGUAUAAUUAAGUAAAUGUACUCUUUUCUCUUACCCAAGUGUGAGUGGAGUAAACAUCCCUCGAAUAUUAGUGAGGGUUAAAAUCUGGGUAGAGCUCCAUAAGUAUUGAUGUAAUUUGAUCCUAAUAAUAGUAUGAUUUGUAAAUAUCAGUUAUAUUAUCAUGUAAUAUGAGUUGUAAUUUGAGUAAUAAUUUCAUGUAAUUACAAAAAAAAUGUUACUUUCAUUACUUUUUUCUUCGUUAAAAUUCUCAAGUAUCAAUUAUGUUUGCUUAAGAAAUAAAAUUUCGUUAUGAAAAUUGUAGCAGUAUUUCCGAGCACCUCACAUUUUCAAUGAUUUUUCAUAAAUCAAUUAAUCUGCCAUACCAAUAUCAGGUUUAGUUUUUCAGACUAAAUGAUCAAGAAAGCAAACAUACAAAUUCACAUUUUAGAGGGGUAAACUAGCUUUUAGAUUUUAGAACUAGGCUAGCUACCUCACCAAAUUCCAAUCUGUACAGUGAACUACAAGAUUAAGAAAAUAAUGUAUUUAUAGUUUAAUUGAAUCAUGAGAAAACAAUGUAGUCAUAGCUCAAUCGGACAUGAUCACGGAGAGGCAUAUUCUUUUCAAGUUAAUUUGAUCCAUUUAUAAGAAAUGAAGUGGAUUGAAGUUAAAAGUUCAAAUAACAAAUCCUUGUUCUUGAGUUUUACGACGUCGUUACUCCUUCAAGAGGCUGAUUAUGCAAGUGAAUGCGGAAACAGAAUGCAUUAUCCACGGGGAUGAUAAAUCAAAAGGCGGGAUCAUAGUCUAUGCCCGCAGAUUAACAAUUUCACUCAUAUAGAAAAUUAAUUUUUUUAUAUAUACUAAUCAACACUAGAUUGAUUAUGUUUUGUAUGUUUAUAUGCUAAUCAACAAUAAAUUAUAUUAAAUGAAGAAAUGCUUCAAAUUUUUCUAAUUUAAUUUAGAAAAUCAAUUAUUAACAUUAAUAUUCCUAAUAAAAAUUAUUUUCCAUCGGUAUUCAAAAUUUUCACUUAUAGAAAAUGUGUUUUACGUGAAUACAAGUUAUUGUGUAAAUUUGAAUGAUAGCGAAAAAUAAUUUUUUUAAUUAUUGUAAAAAUAAUUAACCAUAACAAAUCCCUUGUGUAAAUAAUAAUCAUUAUUUAAAAGGUAGAAAGAUGGUUAGUGCACAAUCAAAUUUUAAGCCCCUACCUCCUCGGCCCAAGAUUCAAACUUAGAUGAUCAGCCAAAUAAAAUUAUUUGAAAAUCAUUCAAUCAGGUUCUCGGGGAAAAAAUACAAGAUCCGUAUUUGCAUGAUAUAUAUGAAUUAAUGUAAUUUAUUUGAAUUAUCCAAAUUCAUUAGAGAUAAAACUAUAAAAGAUACCAAAAAAGUUAGAAGGAAGGGUGUGCUGGGAUAUUUUACAAACUAUAGGAAUCUGGUGAGAUUUUGAGCCAAACUGUAGGGAGUUGAAGGCAUUUGCCCAAUAUGUUUAGACGUACACUAACCGUUAUUUGAUCUUGUUGUUGGUCAUGUGAACUAAGAUGUAAAUUAAAGAAAAAGUAUAAAAUUAAAAAAAGAUAAGAUUUCUAAAAUGUGUGGAAGGUGAUUCAUGAUUCACUAAAAUUACUUGCCCCACAUAUAAAGGUAAACAUGUCUAAUUUCAUUAAAAAUAGGUGGAAAAAAUUAACUAAUAGAAAGCUACGGAAAUUAACCCCCACAAAAAUGACUUUUUAUAGAAGAAUUUAUGUUUUUUAAAAUAUGUUAUCAAAGUGUAUUUGAUCAAAUCUCAAUUGCUUAGUAUGGUUAGGAUUUUGUGAACAUAACUAAAAAGUGAAAAAUAUGAAUGAUAGGGGUGAUGCUUGCAAUAUGAAUAAAUAAUGGACUGAUUCAAUUGAUGAUUAAAUUUAUAUAUUAUUGAUUAUUUAUGAAUUUUCAGACUUGUUAUGAUGUAUAACUAUGUGAUUUUGAAACUUGAAACCGUGGCAAACAUUGAAAGGAAUUAUAACUUGAAAUCAUGACUCACGGGGUAUGUCAUGAUUCACGUGCACAAAAAAGGUAGAAUUGUGGAAAUUUACAACCCAACGACAAGUACGGAAAGAAAGGAAGAAAAUUAAAAGACUUCGGGCCUAGCCUGCGUGUAUUAAUUAUUAGAUUACUUUUUUUUAUAAGGGUAAUCAUCAAUUUACUCCAUAACAAUCUUUAAUUCAUUUCUUAAAAAUAUCAAAACUUUAAUUUAUCUUUUAAACAUCGUUACCUCUCUAUUGGUUUUAACAGUUCAAAGGGUAAAAUUAUAUUUGCAUAUUUUCUUGACCGCCAACUAAAUGAUAAAACUCAAAAUUCAAUCUUGUUAUCUUGUUUCAAUCCUCUAUCAAUCAAAUAAGAUUUCUAAAAUAUGUGGAAGAUAUUGCAUGAUUUCCUCAACCUACCUGGCCCGAACAUCAAGGUAAAUAUCUCUAAAAUAGUUGAUUAAAUCUCAGUUGCUAAGUAUAGUUAGGAUUGUGUGAACAUCACUGAAAACUAUGAUUGAUAGAAGUGAUCUUUGCAAUAUGAAUAAAUAAUUAACUGAAUCAAUUGAUUUAUAUAUUAAAGUUUAUGAAUUUUCGGGCUUGUUGCGAUAUAAUAAUAGCAUAUGAUUUUGAAACUUGAAACAGUGGUAAAUAUUGAAAGGAAUUAAUUUGAAAGCAUGAUCCGUGGGGAAUGUGAUGAAUCGUGUUUACAAAAAAGGUAGAAUUGUGGAAAUUUAUAACAGAACGAUAAAUAUGGUAAAAAGGAAGAAAAUUGAAAGACUUGGGGCCUGGCCUGGGUGUAUUUUCUAACUAUCCAAUGGACAAAAUUAUAUUUCUAUACUUUCUCUUACCUAAGUUUCAUAGAAUAGCUCAUUUCAUUUUUAUUUUUUAAAUAAUAGCCCAAAAUAUCAUUAUGUUAACUCAUUAUUAGUUGAAUGGCGUUUGUUAGUAAUUCAUUAAGGGUAAAAAAUGAUUUUCUAUCAAAGAGAAAAUUAGAAAAAUAAAUAAAAAUUGAUAUAUAACUAAAAAUUAUUUUAUCUAAUCCCACUAAAUAAGAAAUGCCAAAAAAGAUGAAAAAAUUAUAUUUCAAGCAAUUCUUUUUUCACUUAUUUCUAUUUUGGCAACAUGAAAGCCCUAUAAACCCUAGAUCUAAGUACCAAAAAUAUCACAAUUUUCUUAUUCAUAUAAGUAUACUCUCUAAUUGCAUUGUAAAAUGGCUUGAAUUGAAUUGAAGAUAAAGAAGAUAUUCAGCACAUGCAAGCACAUAAAAAUUGGUGGCAUUUUUGAGUUUUUCUUCCAAUGAUUUAAAGAUAUUGUUUUAAUUACAGUUUGUUCCUUAUGACAAUUAUUCAAUGGCGAUAUCAAACUAUAUCAUCGUUGAUUUCAUUUAAGAAAAAAGUUAAUGAAUUUUGCAUACUUUGUAGUGUUAUUUAAUUGUGUAAAAAAAUUAUUUUAAUAUAGUUUGUAUCGCUUUAAUGAAAAAUCCUAUUUUGCCCUCAAUGAAUUACUGGUUAACGAUUUUACACUAAUGGUGAGUUAAUGGAAAGAUAUUUUAGGCUAUUGUUUGAAAAGUAGGGAUAAAAUGAGCUAUUGCAUUAAACUCUAAGGAUGAAAAAUGAUUUUUCCCUUUUAUUAUCAAUCAACUAUCUGAUAAAAGUCAAAACUCAUAUUUUUUUUUCCCUUGUUUCAAUCCCCUCUCAAUCAAAAAAGUUUCCUUGUCUAAGCAAUGAGGAAUAUGGCUAGAAAGAUUGUUAUUAGAAAGAUUUAUCAAUAGUAAUUAGUUCACAACUGAACAGUUUUAGAUUAUUGUGAGUCAAUAUAGGUCCUGUUUAGGAUUGAAGUGUUGCAGUUUUUAAGCUACAGCUGCUGUAGAAAAAAAAACUAUAAUUAUGAAAUAAGAGUUAAUAAUAUAUAAUAAAUAUAAAUUUUAAAUAAUAAUUUUGACAAAAUUAUUAAAAAUAUAAUAGAUUUUUCAUAAUACAAAUAAAAAAAUCAUAUCAACAUAGCUUGCAAGGUACAACAGUUAGUAUGAUGUUAGUUUAUUUUUGCGUCAAUAUAAGUAGUCAAAUUGAAUAAGUUAGUGAAAUGCUGCCUCACUGUCCCAUUGAAUAUGAUUCAGCUAACAGGGCUAGAGCUUGUGGAUGCCAAUGGCACUGAACAAAGUAUUGGGUGGUAAUUUUAAGACCACGCUAUGCCCAAAACCCAAGUUAGGCGAUUACAAAUACGGGAAUCAAUGUCACUUUGCUAGGAAUGGAGAGGAUAGAUUGCUUAGUGAAAUGCAACUUUGUAGAAUGCUGAGAGAUGUGCUGAGAGAUGAGGAUAGUUGUCGAUUUCUUCAUGUAAAUGCUGAGAGAUGUGCGGAAGUUUCUACUCAGUUUAGGCUUAGUUUAAGAAUAGCCUGGUGAUAAACAUUUUGAGUGGUGGAUCUUCUGUGGAUAACAAAAGUAGGUCUAUUCAAUGGGAACGCGACAAGGGGCUGGCUAACUCGCUCAGGUUGUGCAAAUGUUAAAAGCAGAAUGCCAGUUGUAUGAAGUUAUGUCAUUUUCUUUAUAGAACUAUGAAAGCUUGGAGUCCACGAUUCAAUGGAAUCUCGGGCUGUGCCAAUGAUUGUUUCAAGUACUUUUUCUACUUUCAAUGUCCAGACUAAGACUAUUUCUAAGCAGCAAGUGCAGGAUAUAAAGUGCAAAUCAAAAUAGACAGAAGUGAAGAGGAAGAUACGUGGUAUAUAUGUUGAUUGGAUUGAAGAUAUACCACUUUUGCCUAGUUCUUAGAACAAAGCAGAAAGCUGUAGUUAAAAAUAUACCUUCUGCUAAAGAUAAGUAGUCAAUAGUUCUAUUAGUGCAUAACUUUGCGAUUAAGGAUGAUCGCUGUCUAUUUUAAGAGCUUUUAAUAGAAUUUAGUAGCCCUGAUUUUCAAUCUCAGUGUUUUGCGGCUGUUAUCGACAUCCCUCUGUUACAUUUUUCAAGUUUCAUUGAUAAAUUAGUAGUUAGCCUUAUGAAGAAUGCACACACCAUAACCAUGUACGUUAAAUAGCAAACCUGCAUUUUAUUGAACUGUGAACUACUGAUUCAAUAAAGCUCAACAUAAGCUAACAAGUCUUUGUGAAAUUGCUUCAUGGUACAUUGUUUGAAGUAUUUAAGCUAAUAUAUGAUUAUUAAUGGGCUCGUGAGCCAACCCCAUUAAUUAUAUGUACAUAUAUAUAAUGUUACCAUCAAUAUGAUAUGUGACAUCCCAUAACAGCUAAUUAUAGAUCUUUAUCCAUUUUCAUAAUUUGCCUUCUGGCUUCCACUGCUCGUCACUAAAUUCAAAAUCCAUUGCACCUCAAAACAACAUGAGAAAUCUUAUAGGCAAAUCAUGACCAGUUCAAAGAUAAUAGCGAUUAUAGGGAAAGAAAAUUAAAAUCGAAGACGCAUAUAAAAUAAUCAAGCUACUGAUGAACAAAAUAACAUGAAAGUGUAAGUAUUUAUACUAACCUUCACUUAUUAGGAAGUUUGUUUCGCUAUUGGGUAAGAUCAAGCUCUCUGCAUAUCCUAUUGGCAAAAGGAAAUCACGCACGUGUGAUCUCUCUCUCUCUCUCUACACACGCACACAUAUACACACGCAUAUACAUAUACAUGCAUGGUCAUCAUCUUAGAAACCGAUUGAGAAAUUAUUGUCAGAGUUUGAAUUUGCGCAAUGACUAGUCAUGUUGCUAAAAAGAAAAAAGAUUGAGAUUGAAAGAAAUUCAUUAUCAUCAAAUUGGUCCAAUAUCCACUUCACUGUGUGGAUCAAAUACGUUUUCGAAUAGUGCACUGAUCUACAAUCUACUGCAAUAAUUUGUUAGGACCCUACAUCAACAAAUUAUGGGAUUAGUUGGUUUAUUAACCCUAAUACAUCCGGACAAGUCAAUCCUUUCAUGAGAAACAAAAUGAAUUUUGCAUCCCAUGAAACACAACAUACUCAGCUAGUUGAAAUUGUGGAUAUACGGGGGUAACGUAAGCAUGCUUUCACAAUUUGAAAGAUUUAUUUUUUAAGAUUUAGUAUUUCUGGGAUCCUAUUGAGAUAGAGGGGUGGUGAAGGUCUAUAGAUUUUAACUUGACAGCUUCCUAUAACCAAAGAUACAUAACUAUACUAAAUGAGCAUCAUUGAAUUUCAAAGUUAUUCAUUAUAAAUACUUAAAGAAAGAAAAAUAGAUAUUUUGGUAAUAGUAAUACAUUAUACCUUUUCUCUUUUCCAAAUUUGCUUAACCUUACUACAAGGCAAGCUGAGUCCAAUCAGGUUCUCCAAUUCAAAAUCUGAUGUCAGUAUUUUCAAAAGAUAUUUAUGCCAAUGGAGAUUUCUCAAUUCUAUAGGAAGGCAUUUUUUUUUUUUGAAACUGAUUAAGCAUCAGUUGGUUACUGUAUUACACAGAGAUAUAUACAACUGCUAUGACAGCAGGUCAUUACACUGAUAUUUACAAUCAGAUAUAUACAUGUGACUUAUAUUAUUACAUUUUUAUUCUAUGAAGUACAUGCCCAUCCAAAUACCCCUCACAGAGGAGGGAUGUCUCUACUCCACUCCCAUUGCGCAAGGGAGAAAGACGUUGUAAGAAGUCUCCAUACAAUUAUAUUUAAUUGAGGGAGGUUGAGUCCGUGGGGACUCGAACCAUUGCCCUCAUAGUCAUGCUUAACUUUGAGGGCAAUGAUUCACCACUGGGCUACAAGCCCAAGUGGCUAUAGGAAGGCAUUCUAAACCUCAGUGAAGUUACACCCUGGAGCUUAUAAUUAGAACACCAUCAUACUCGGAUAUAUAAAAUUUCAGCAAUCUAAAAUUUGACAUUGUUUUAAAUGCUCCAGAAUCUAAACGUAUGUCUCUUAUCCUGGAGAAUUCAAGAAUAUACUUUCGGUUGCAUGUGUCCCUUCAGAAAAGAAGCAAAUAAUGAGUUCGCAUAAAUUUUCUCAGGAAAAAAAUCCUAAAAUUUAUAAAGAGCUCCUUAAAUGAAGACAAAACCUGCACUCGCUCAACUCUUUUUUUUUUUUUUUAUGUUGUUCUAGUCUUCUUCAAUCCCCCCCUCUAAAACUUUAAUCCAAGCGUUAAGUGUAAGUAAACUAAAAUAUGAUUUUCGUAUGCAAGUACAACACAACAUACCCAUAAAAAUGAAGAGCGGAAGUUAGAAUCAAACCUCCAGCAAUUGAUAUUUUGCAAACUGAUAUUUGAUUCUUCUGAGACUUAUGUAAUCGUUUUGAUGGUGCAGUUUUUGAAUUAGAUUACAUAGCCUCAGGUACUAAUACCAUUUUCACCAUUUUGUUUUUAUUUCAUCUUUCCAUCAAAGAUGAAGGGGUGGGAAAUUAUCAAAGCAGCUGUUAGAUGACACCUGCUUCUAGACCUGCAAGUAAAACCAAAGAAUGAGCUCCAUUAGAUACAUUUGAGUUAAUAAAAUCCCUUGUUCCUCCUAAUGAUUAUAGACAUUAAUUAGGAGGGAGAAAUGAAGUAAAUUAAAUUAAAUGAAGGACCUUCAUUCUCCACGCAUGCAGCCGGCUAUUUUGUUACCAAGUUGUUGAAAGGAAGUAAAUAGAGAAGCAUUCAGAUACCACUCUCCCAGAUCGAUAUUCCUAGUAAGACCAAGGUGUAGUUGUACCACUCGGCCUGUGGAGUUGCUGCAGUCAACCCUUUCCCUUUGUUCAUCUACCCAGUUUUGAAGUCUAUAAGGGGAAUUGAAGAAAUGUUUAAGCCACAAAAGAUCAAAUUCCUCAUGCUCCAAACAUCCCUCACUCCACCCCCCCCACCCCCCGGCGCCCUCUUCUAAUAUUAUUAAUACGAGAACUAACAUUGUCACCAUUUUGAAUUUUGAACCACCCAUUCUAGCUAUAUCUCUAACUAUUAAAAAACACACAUUCUCUCUUUCUCUAUAACUAUAAAUAACAAAAGGGCUCUAUGUUAUUUAUAACAAACACAUCUAACAAUUUAUACACUCAGGCCCCAGCUAGCUUUCAGUUGUCUUCUUUGGUAGUCUUCAGCCUUCUCAAAGACUUUCGUCAUGCCUUACUUUCAGCCUUCCUUUCCAUAUUUGUCAUUUUGCUUUAAUUUUCCACAAUUCUACCUUGGAUGGUAAUAUUUAAUUCGCCACGAAUUGAGUGAAACGCUGGUCCGUUACCCAUCCCACUUCAAUAUUAACAAUAUUAAUAAUAAUAAAUAAAUUCUUCAAGCAAUUGAGAUUUGACACCCACCCCACUUCAAUAUUAAUAUUAAUGGGAAAUCAUAAAUUCUUCUACAAAUGAGUCAUUAUUUUAAAAUUGUUAUAAGCUUAUUUAUUUAAAAAAAAAAAAACGAGAAGGGGAACUUGUUAUCUUAAAAUUAAAAGAUUCUGGUGUGGCUACCCGAAUCCGCACGUUUUUUAAGAUUUUUUUUCCAAUCUUGUGUACCGUUCAACACCUAUAUAUGCUUUGCAAUUGAUUAGUUAACAAAAUAAAAUUCUUGAUCAGUUGUGCGGUAAAAAUAAUAUUAUUUUACAAAGCUUUACCUGGUGCAGUCAAUACGGCUAGAAAUUAAAGGAUCCCCAGCAUGAUAAUUAAGGAAUAAUUAUUAUUCUAGAUUUGUGCAGUGGCGAAGCUAAUAGCAUUUUUCGUUUUCGAGUGAGCUGAACUUUUUCCCCCCCCUAAUUCAAUACAUUUUUAUCGUACAAUAUAAUUUUGUAAAUAAGAAAUUAUAGAUGCACCUAAUAAUGCGCGACAAAAUAAGCUUUACCUCUCAAAAUAUUUGUUCUAAACAUUAUUUAAAAUAAUUUAGACACAUAUUUAUUCACAAAAUGAUGAACAGACAAGAAUUUGAUGAUAAUUGAAGAGGCAGCAUAACUAAUUAAUAUAAAAAUUUUUAUAUAGGUUUCAAUAAAGGAAAUUUUGUAACUAAAUAAUUUUUUUUCUGAGAAGCCCGGCCUUGCCCUCUCCAAAAUUCGCCACUGAAUUUGUGGGGUGGUUACUGGAGUUCACACGUUUUCAAAUUUUUUUUUCCCGAUCAUUCAAUAGUAAUUUUGCUUUUUAGUUUAUUAUUAUUGUUGUUAUUAUUAUUAACUCAGGCAUUUAUUAAAGCUCGAACACAUAAUCUAAACUUUGAUAUAUUUUUUGCUGAGAGGAGUCAAAAUUUGGGAAUUAUAUGCGCAUCAUAACAUAAUAAACAACCGCAAAGUAUCCUACGGAAACUUUCAGUGCACUCUGACAGCAGCUUUUGGUAGUCAAAUAGUCUUGGAAUCAUUUUUUAGCGCAUAUUCUUUUCGGUAAUGUGAUGAAUUCAUAUCUAAAGAAUCAAAACUAUGAUGUGAAUUUGCUGCAAAAACUGAUCCAAGACUAUUCAUUCAUUAUUAAACAUAUGAUAUCGUCCGUAAGACUGGAGAAAUAUGAAUGAAUUUGUUGAUGAUAACUCAGAAGACGGUUAACGGUUAAAUAUGCUAUGUUGAAAUGCACUGUACAGUCAAUUAAUUUAGUUAGGACUCUGUUUCUAGAAAACAGAGUAUAAAAGAUGACUAACUGUUUUGGGAGAUGCUUUUGGAGGGACUUCUAGAUGAAAUUGAGAGAGAGAGAGUGUGAGAGAAACUCUGUAAAGUCUUCUCCAAUUGGUAACCCCUUUUGUUGCGAAUAAUAAAGCUUCAAGGCUGUUCAUUUAUUUGUACAUAAGCAGGGGGAAAGCCUAUGUAUAGACAGCUUCAAAUGAGGAAACUGCACCUAACUACGCAGCAGCUGUAAUGAAGAAGACAUUGAUGCAUUAGCUUCCUGUUCCGUCUUCUUGGUCUUCGGGGAGGUUGGUAGCAGCAACUUUAAUUGUUCAAAGCAAACACUUAUCUUUCGUUUCUCAUAAAACCUCGUGAGGUAAUGCUUUAGAUGACUGGUAUGCAAUAUUGUCAAUGACAAAAUGUAAUGUUGUAUUCUGCUGAUCAACAUGUAAAAACUACAUAUUACUUGAAUUAGUUUUUUUUUUUUUUAAUUUACUAAAUUUCAGAAUUUGUUAACGAUGUUUGUACUUGGUUUUAACUCGAUUAAAGCUCAUGAAACUUAAUUGAUUAAUUAAUCAUUUAGUUAAAUUUAUUCGCUUUCAUGCUAUGGAUCUUUGCUAUAAUAACAAAUGCUUAAUUAUAUGCGUAUGUGUGAUAUAAUAGCUGCGUCUUACAUAGCAUAACACUACACCAAAUAUGCCCCCCUCAGAUACUAAUUAAUUACACAAAUGUACUUUUAUUCAAUUUAUUAUUUAAAAUAAUAUUUGAAAAAAAAUGGACUUGAGCAGAGCAAAGUAGAGAUAAUAAACAAGGGUAGAUUAUGCAUGCGUCAAAAGAUUUUAAAAAAGAAAAAGAGAAAAUAUACGGAAAACAAGAAAAUUGCGGGGAGCCACUCUUGUCUUUUACUUUGGACUUGAAGUCGUUCCAGGUGGAUAAUGUUUUCCUUUUAAAUAUUUAGAAUUAUAUUGUGGCGCUAUUUAAAAUAAGUUAUAAUUUUCUUAAAAUCAGACUAUGAUUACGGUACUCCAUGGUCAGAGUGUCGUUGAAUAAUGCUGAGUCUAUUGAGUCCUUUUCAAAUCGAAACCAGAACUAAAGAAAAAUCCAGAACUGAAACAAGGGCACGAACCAGCAAGAUUUGAAGGAAAAAUUUACUUCGUUAGUGAUCAACAACUAAUCAAACGUAAGUGGAUUUACAGAAGACUUUGUACAGAUCACAAUGAAACAGAUUCUAUGCAAAUUGACGAACAACUGAAGAAGAAAAAGGAUCGUACAACAGGCACUGCUCAUAAGCUUCUAUUUAUACUGAUGUUUCUGGAAACGUUGUAACAGAUUAUAACUAAUUCGUGCCACGUCAGCAUAAAAUAUCUACUAGACCCAUUUAACUGAAGUCAAUCUGCACAACGACUCUGAACCUCUUCAUAUUUUCCAUUUCAGUCCACAGACUCAACUACACACGUCUCCAAAAAUAAUAAGUUUUAUUUAUUUAUUUUUAUUAAUAAAAUAAAUUUUUAUUAACUUUCGUUGAUUUUGGUAGAUUUUGUUUUUGAGCUGUUACUACACUGUCGGCUGGUGUGUCAUCAUACGUAGUAGCGUCAUCAACCCUCUCAUGACUUUGACGGCCGAAACAUGUUUCAUGGCACAAAUAAUGACAGAUUUGUUUGAGGUACGGCGGAGAUGCCUAUUCAAAUAUUUGAAGCCAGCCCCUCCUUGUUUAACAUUUUUUUUUUUAAAAGGGGAACAACUGCUUUAGCUGUAUAUAUCAAGAAAAUUAGCUAACAGUUUAUGCACUUAAUUAUUUAUUUUGCCACACAUUUGUAAGUGGUCAAUGCUGCCGUAAAAUUAUUAGACCCAAAAUAAAGUGUGAUGAGGGACAGGAAUUAAUGUUCCCAUUAGCUGUAGCACCUAUCUUCCAUCUCUAAUUUUAACUUUCGAUUGAUGAAGUGUUUUCAAAUUUGUCAAAUGUCUGUAAACUGUUUAAUAAUUGAAGAAAGUUAAAAUUCAUUUUCUAAAAAUUAUUUUCAUUCAAAAUUGCGAUUGGAUGGUAAUCAGGGUUAAUAUCAGAGCUUAAGAUACUAUAACCGUGAGAACCUAUUGACUGCCAAUUAAAAUAUCCAUUAAAAUGUCUAGGGAGUUAUGAAGGUGGGGGUAACUUCCAAUUUCUAAGGCCACAGAGUAGACAUCAUCCAGGAUCCUAGGAAAGUCCAGUUAACCUCCUGCUCGAUGCAAUUAAUAAAUUUGGUCAAUGCCACUGAAACCUGCUAACUGACGUCACAAUGCGACAUGAGCACUUCAAAAUGGGACGGACAGUCAGUAGCACUGAAUUUUUCUUGCCUAAGAUUGAGCAAUUGGUCUAACUACUAAUCCCUAUUGUAGGUUGAUCAUUAUUUUUUCAAUUAUGUUCAGUUUGACCCAAAAAGUUGCAGAAUCUUGAGCUGAAUAUUGUCACGGAACACUGUCAAUGUCGCUUAGCAUAGCCAACAAACUUGAUGUUAAAACAAACACACAGUGUGUCUCAUGUCUCACAAAUCAAAUUAUCAUCUGUAAUGAUGGAGAAUUUUUCCAAUGUAUGAAGUAUGCUUUGAUACGUGGGUUACCUUGGAGAAGAUAUCUCAAAAUAAAGAAUAUGGGGAGAAAACAGUUCAGUAGUUUAUUAUUCUGUAGUCAAGUUUUGUCUCGAAAAUGGUCAAAAUUUAAAUGAUUAAGGACAGGGGAUCUUCAUUCUUUUUCCCCUUUUUUAUACCAAGAUAUCUCUCAACCUUUAUAUAAUCCCCACUGGAUAUCUGCUUCUCAUAAUUAAAAUAAAAAUUUCACCGCUCUAACAAUAAAAAGUAACAUCUUUAGUCAAAUAAUUUUGCGGUUCCUCAUCAUCUUAGUGUGAGACUAUCAGUACUUCCAAAAACAUAAUAAAACUGGUUUGAUCCUGUUUAUUAAUGUUUAAAUGUUGUUCAUUGUGACAUGUAGAAAUGAUGAGGCGAAGUUUAUUUGGGCAUCAAUUAGUAAGAUCUUGUUCGAAGUUGUUUUCUGAAAUGAACUGCCAAAUGGUAGUUUUUUGGGGGCAUUUGAUGGCUCUUUUUUUUUCCUCAUUUUCAACAUGUGCCUGCUUGGAACAGGAAGGAUUAGGCUUUAGAGUUGUUAUUUAUUUUGAGAUGCUCUGGUCAUUGCACAAUUUGUUCACACUGGAAAUUAGAAUGAGAAAUUUGUUGAUGCUGUUUUGAGAGAUCUGCAUUCUAUGCACAAUAACAUGAUUAAUGAAAAUGUAUUGUAGGACUGGAAAGAUCUGUGGCAGCCUGAGCUCGCAGGAAGAAUUUCAAUGGUUAAUUCUCCCCGAGAGGUUAUUGGUUCAGUUUUGAAGUAUAGGGGAGCAUCAUACAAUUCAAACGAUAUUGAUUCGCAAGUUGCUGGUGGGAAGAUUGCUGUUCAGCAGAAUCUGGCAUUACUGGCAAACCAGGUACUCUUACAGAAAUGAUAUCUGGUCAUUGCAUGUUAUUGCCUGACAACUGAUUUUGUUUGUAAAAGUCUACUUCUUCAUACAUAUGAAUGCAUAUGUUAGUGUUUUCUUCUCGUUUUCAUACAUAUAAAUGCAUAUGUUAGUGUUGUCUUUUCCUUUUCAUACAUAUUACUACAUAUGUUGGUGUUCUCUCCUGAGAUGGAUGCAAUAAAGGCUUUUGCUCCUAAAUUUAGCUGAAGAAAUGGCAAGGGAUGUGAGAUUCUGUCUCAUUAAAUUAACAAAAACCCAAAGCAAUGAAAAUCCAUAAUAAUGUGGUGUGGGUAAAUUGGCUCCAUUUGGUUCGUUUCCUUAAUGUGAAUGCGCGAGCAAUAGAGACUAACAAAAUGAAGUGACAACAAGAAGUCAGUGUCCUUUGAUGGAUGCAUUUUUAGGCAGAAAUAGGUUUGUAAUUGACCAAAUUUGUCUGGCAUGCCAAUUUCAAAAAAAUUAAAUUAUGUGGUUAUUAGCUGUAAUGAAGGGGGAUAGUAGGUGCAAUCAGGUGGAUCCUGGAAAGUUCAAUAAAGUUUUGGUAUGGCGUAGUGAAAUUGGUUUGUGCAACUCAGGAGUCUUUCAGGUGAACGAUGAUAGGUUUUGAUUUAUGAAUAUUAUAAAUCUACUGUGCAUAGUAUUCUAGUAGAAUCAUCUAUAAGUUCUAGUUAUUGAAAUUGUAUACUUUGCCCGGUUUGAGUUAAGGGCACAUGUAAUAUGAAAGAUAGUUGUCGCAUCUUUUAGGUUACCUAACAUUUGAUCAAUCCUAUUAUGGGGGCUUCAAGAUGUCUAACAAUAUGUAGAAUGCCCAUGCUCCUCCCCAUUGUUUAUCUUCUACAAUAAUUUGUUUUAGAUGCUAAUAUCUUUGUCGAUACCGGUAACAAUAUUACAAUAUCUGCGUUUAUUGGGUUUUACAUAGGUUCGACUGUUUGACAGUACACACUAUCUGAAGGCAUUUGCAAUUGGAGAUGUAUGGGUUGCUGUUGGGUGGAUUAGUGAUGUUCUUCCUGCUGUCAAACAUAUGUCUAAUGUUGCUGUUGUUGUUCCCAAGUCUGGUGCUAGCUGCCUGCCAUUCUACUUCGAUAUUCACAUUGUUAUCUCCUUCAUAUUAGCGAUCAGUAAACACGAUAAUGUGACUAAUAAGUUCGUAUUCUCUUUAUAGGCAAUCCCUGCUGCCUCAAGACUUGAAACAAAACAAAUUGGAGGGCGAGUCGGAGGUCCAUCUCCGUUAAUCCAUCAAUGGAUAGAAUUCUGCUUGCAAACAGCGAGAGCAUUACCUUUCAAGCAAGAGGUAAUCCCAGGUGCAUCUCCCUCUGCCCUUGAAAGUACUCUGGUUAAGUUGCCUGAAGAACUUCUGGAGGGUAAACCAAGUCUGGAUACUAACUUAAUUGCUGGAGUACUCCCGGCUGAAAUUCUGGCCAGAUGUGAGUUUUUGGAGCCAUUAUCUGAAGCUACUUUGUCAGAUUAUGAGUGGCUGGUUGUUAAUCUGCAAAAACCUGCUCCUGUCUUGAUGAAAAGGGUGCAACAUUACUUGUCAUCAUUAAUCCAAAGCUUUCUAGCAAGAGCUACAUUGAAAAGUUAAUGGCGCUGCAUGCCAGUCAUUAUAAUGCUGUCAGGACAAUUGGGUCAGGGCAAUUAGGUCAGAGCAUAACUUCAUUAGGAAAGGGGGCUUCAGCUACGUUAAAUAUUACAGGAUGUACUGAGAUGGCUGAAGUUCUUGAGGUUUUAUGAGAAACGAAAGAUGAGUGUUUGUUUGAACAAAGUUGUUGCCAAUCUUGCAGAGUUUGAAAACAAAGAUCACGGAGCGAAUGCCACCGAUUUCUUCAUCAUUUUAGCCUCCAUAAUUGAAGUUUCCUCAUUUGAAGCUGUUUAUGCAUACGAUUUUUCCCUGCUCUAGUACAGGAAAUUGAAGAAUUAACCAGAUGUGAUAUGCUGAAAGAGGGAAGUUUUCUUCCUUGAAUGUGGCCUUUGUGAUUUGUCUUGAAGGAAUAGGAUGAUCACUGGCAAGAACCCUAUCAAGGUAGAUUUUAUGGUGUUAACAUAUUAUUCAGCAUUUUGUUACAUUAGCAAUGAUGCUUUCAUAGCAUGAAAGUGUUUAAAUUUAACUGAAUGAUCUUGAUUGAUCAAUUAUGAGUUUUAAUCGAGUAAAAACUAAAUACAAUAAUCGUAACAAANNNNNNNNNNNNNNNNNNNNNNNNNNNNNNNNNNNNNNNNNNNNNNNNNNNNNNNNNNNNNNNNNNNNNNNNNNNNNNNNNNNNNNNNNNNNNNNNNNNNUGCUACCUUUUGAUUUUAGUGCUUAAUAUUUAUUGAACUAUGAUGCAGGGAAUUUGAAAUCAAACUCGUAAUACAGAUUAUCUAAUUGCGAGUUGCUGUCCAUAGCUGCUAAUUUGUAGUGAUUAUCUAAUUGACUGAGGUGACAAUAAUUCUUUUAUUUUCAAUAGCACAAUGUGGAAUUCAAUAAUUAAAUUCUCCUGUUUAAUUUGUUUCAAGUUAAAUUAUUAAUUACUUAAACUCGGUUUUAAGUCUUUAAUUUUAUGUGUUUAUGCAGAAUUGGAUUCUUGAGCGUGUUGGACACGACCAACAAUGAAAUUGACAGUAAACAAACAUUAGAACAUGUGGACUCCGGUAAGCACCAAUGAAUUUCUAGCCCCGUUGACUCCGCCAACUAAAGUUUUGUAAAAUAAAAAAAAAUACAUAGAAUUCCACCAAAUGCAAAACGCGUAAAAUUUAAUUUUCGGCCGUGUGGACCAAAACAUAAUUUAACAAAAAAGAAAAAAAUGAUAAGAUUUUUAAAAUGUGUGGAAGGUGAUCCAUAUUUUACUGAAACGACUUGUUAAAUUUUUCAAGGAUUUAGAAUAUUUGGUCAUAAAUUACGUGCAUGUUAAUUUUUCCGCCAUUGACUAUCAUAUUCUAGACUUAAUGGUACCUUUUUUGAUGAAGGGUACUUAGUCUCUCUUCUCCUCUUAUAAAAAUUAUAUUAAUUGAUUUCUUGUUAUAGUUAAUAGUCUUCAAGAACGGAUAGAUUUAUUGUUUUCAUGACCAAAUUAUGCAUGCCUAACGUUGCAACUAUUAAUAAAAUUAAUAUUUAAUAUUUAUGUUAAAAGAUAUAAGAUUUUAUGCAUUCAUUAAUUGUUAUUAGCUAAAGGAUGAAUUAUUUUUUCCCAAUCAGUUGAUGCAUCUGCAAGAGUUUUUUUUUCUUUUAUUGACCAUAAUUAUAUUCCGGGUACAAUAAAUUGUCUUUGGUGCUUGGAAGAUAUGACAUCUCUCUGUCAACUUACUGGAAAUAUCUCCUCAUCUACUCUCAUUUAUCUAAUAUCAAUUGAAGAUCUCAUAUUUCCAAACUAUGACUUCCAAAUCUCAUUAUCAUUUGAGCAUUCAAAACUAAUCAAGUGUGGAAAUAAUCAAAUAUAUGCAAAAAUCGAGUCACAAUCUUUGGCCCCUCAAAAUUCUAAUUAUAUAACUUCUAUAUAUCUCAUACAUUUUCCAAAUUCCUCUUCCAUCAACAUCAUUAGGAGUAUGUUCAUCUCUCACACAUUAACUUGAGUGGAGAGUUUCCAAAUUGAUUGUCAGAAAACAACAAAAGAACUAGACACGCUUGAUCUGUCUAAUAAUUCUCUUUCGGUAAAAUUAAUUAAUUUUAGGGGAAUUCAGCCAACCUCUGUAAUUUUAUAGUGAUCAUUAAUUAAUUAAACAAUACAAAUAUCUAAAGUGAUUAGAUGUUUACUGACAAUACAAGUUCAUGGCUUGAAAUUUGAUCUCUAUCGAUUGGUUUUGUAGUGCUUAAUAUUUACAGAACUCCGGGAAUUUGAAAUCAAACUCGUAACUACAGAUUAUCUAAUUGUAAGUUUUUGUCCAUAGCUGCUGAUUUGUAGUGAUUAUCUAAUUGACUGAGGUGACAACAAUUGUUCUUUUAAUUUUCAAUAGCAUAAUGUGGAAUUCAAUAAUUAAAUUCUCCUUUUUAAUUUGUUUCCAAUUAAAUUAUUAAUUACUUAAACUCUAUUUUAAGUCUUUAAUUUUAUGUGUUUAUGCAGAAUUGGAUUCUUGAGCGUGUUGGACACGACCAACAAUGAAAUUGACAGUAAACAAACAUUACAACGCGUUGAGUGUCGACUCCGGUAGCUGCCCUACAAGUCUACAACUUUACAAAAAAUAAUUGAGUACACACAUUCGAUUCUCGGGACCCUUCAAUGAAUUUCUAACCCCGUUGACUCCACCGACAAAAGUUUUGGAAAAUAAAAAAAAAAUUUAUAGAAUUCCACCAAAUGCAAAACGCGUGGAAUUUAAUUUUCGGCCGUGUGGACCAAAACAUAAUUUAAUGAAAAAAAAGAAGAUAAAAUUUCUAAAAUGUGUGGAAAUUGAUCCAUAUUUUACUGAAACAACUUGUUAAAUUUUUCAAGGAUUUAGAAUAUUUGGUCAUAAAUUAUGCUCAUGUUAAUUUUUCCGCUAUUGACUAUCAUAUUCUAGACACAAUGGUACCUUUCUUGAUGAAGGGUACUUAGUCUCUCUUCUCCUCUUAUAAAAAUUAUAUUAAUUGAUUUCUUAUUAUAAUAAAUAGUCUUUAAGAACGUAUAGAUUUAUUGUUUUCGUGACCAAAUUAUGCCUGCCUAAGGUUGUGACUAUUAAUAAAAUUAAUAUUUAAUGUUUAUGUUAAAAGAUAUAAGAUUUUAUGCAUUCAUUAAUUGUUAUUAGCUAAAGGAUUAAUUAUUUUUUCAACCCAAUCUGUUGAUGCAUCUGCAAGAGUUUUUUCUUUUAUUGACCAUAAUUAUAUUCCGGGUACAAUAAAUUGUCUUUGGUGCUUGGAAAAUAUGACUUCUUACUUCAAGUUUGAUAUGUCUCUCUCCAUAAGCUUACUGGAAAUAUAUCCUCAUUUACUGUCAUUUAUCUAAUAUCAAUUGAAGAGCUCACUUUUUCAAACUAUCACUUCCAAGUCUCAUUGUCACUUGCCAUUCUUGGACCAUUCAAAACCAAACAAGUGUUGNNNNNNNNNNNNNNNNNNNNNNNNNNNNNNNNNNNNNNNNNNNNNNNNNNNNNNNNNNNNNNNNNNNNNNNNNNNNNNNNNNNNNNNNNNNNNNNNNNNNNNNNNNNNNNNNNNNNNNNNNNNNNNNNNNNNNNNNNNNNNNNNNNNNNNNNNNNNNNNNNNNNNNNNNNNNNNNNNNNNNNNNNNNNNNNNNNNNNNNNNNNNNNNNNNNNNNNNNNNNNNNNNNNNNNNNNNNNNNNNNNNNNNNNNNNNNNNNNNNNNNNNNNNNNNNNNNNNNNNNNNNNNNNNNNNNNNNNNNNNNNNNNNNNNNNNNNNNNNNNNNNNNNNNNNNNNNNNNNNNNNNNNNNNNNNNNNNNNNNNNNNNNNNNNNNNNNNNNNNNNNNNNNNNNNNNNNNNNNNNNNNNNNNNNNNNNNNNNNNNNNNNNNNNNNNNNNNNNNNNNNNNNNNNNNNNNNNNNNNNNNNNNNNNNNNNNNNNNNNNNNNNNNNNNNNNNNNNNNNNNNNNNNNNNNNNNNNNNNNNNNNNNNNNNNNNNNNNNNNNNNNNNNNNNNNNNNNNNNNNNNNNNNNNNNNNNNNNNNNNNNNNNNNNNNNNNNNNNNNNNNNNNNNNNNNNNNNNNNNNNNNNNNNNNNNNNNNNNNNNNNNNNNNNNNNNNNNNNNNNNNNNNNNNNNNNNNNNNNNNNNNNNNNNNNNNNNNNNNNNNNNNNNNNNNNNNNNNNNNNNNNNNNNNNNNNNNNNNNNNNNNNNNNNNNNNNNNNNNNNNNNNNNNNNNNNNNNNNNNNNNNNNNNNNNNNNNGUAUUUUACUUGGAAGAUAUGACAUCUCUCUGUCAACUUACUGGAAAUAUCUCCUCAUCUACUCUCUUUUAUCUAAUAUCAAUUGAAGAUCUCAUAUUUCCAAACUAUGACUUCCAAAUCUCUCAUUAUCAUUGAGCAUUCAAAACUAAUCAAGUGUGGAAAUAAUCAAAUAUAUGCAAAAAUCGAGUCACAAUCUUUGGCCCCUCAAAAUUCUAAUUAUAUAACUUCUAUAUAUCUCAUACAUUUUCCAAAUUCCUCUUCCAUCAACAUCAUUAGGAGUAUGUUCAUCUCUCACACAUUAACUUGAGUGGAGAGUUUCCAAAUUGAUUGUCAGAAAACAACAAAAGAACUAGACACGCUUGAUCUGUCUAAUAAUUCUCUUUCGGUAAAAUUAAUUAAUUUUAGGGGAAUUCAGCCAACCUCUGUAAUUUUAUAGUGAUCAUUAAUUAAUUAAACAAUACAAAUAUCUAAAGUGAUUAGAUGUUUACUGACAAUACAAGUUCAUGGCUUGAAAUUUGAUCUCUAUCGAUUGGUUUUGUAGUGCUUAAUAUUUACAGAACUCCGGGAAUUUGAAAUCAAACUCGUAACUACAGAUUAUCUAAUUGUAAGUUUUUGUCCAUAGCUGCUGAUUUGUAGUGAUUAUCUAAUUGACUGAGGUGACAACAAUUGUUCUUUUAAUUUUCAAUAGCAUAAUGUGGAAUUCAAUAAUUAAAUUCUCCUUUUUAAUUUGUUUCCAAUUAAAUUAUUAAUUACUUAAACUCUAUUUUAAGUCUUUAAUUUUAUGUGUUUAUGCAGAAUUGGAUUCUUGAGCGUGUUGGACACGACCAACAAUGAAAUUGACAGUAAACAAACAUUACAACGCGUUGAGUGUCGACUCCGGUAGCUGCCCUACAAGUCUACAACUUUACAAAAAAUAAUUGAGUACACACAUUCGAUUCUCGGGACCCUUCAAUGAAUUUCUAGCCCCGUUGACUCCACUGACAAAAGUUUUGGAAAAUAAAAAAAAAAUUCAUAGAAUUCCACCAAAUGCAAAACGCAUGGAAUUUAAUUUUCGGCCGUGUGGACCAAAACAUAAUUUAAUGAAAAAAAAAAGAUAAAUUUUCUAAAAUGUGUGGAAGGUGAUCCAUAUUUUAUUGAAACAACUUGUUAAAUUUUUUAAGGAUUUAGAAUAUUUGGUCAUAAAUUACGCUCAUGUUAAUUUUUCCGCUAUUGACUAUCAUAUUCUAGACUCACUGGUACCUUUCUUGAUGAAGGGUACUUAGUCUCUCUUCUACUCUUAUAAAAAUUAUAUUAAUUGAUUUCUUAUUAUAAUAAAUUGUCUUUAAGAACGUAUAGAUUUAUUGUUUUCGUGACCAAAUUAUGCUAGAUUAAGGUUGCGACUAUUAAUAAAAUUAAUAUUUAAUGUUUAUGUUAAAAGAUAUAAGAUUUUAUGCAUUCAUUAAUUGUUAUUAGCUAAAGGAUUAAUUAUUUUUUCAACCCAAUCAGUUGAUGCAUCUGCAAGAAUGUUUUCUUUUAUUGACCAUAAUUAUAUUCCGGGUACAAUAAAUUAUCUUUGGUGCUUGGAAAAUAUGACUUCUUACUUCAAGUUUGAUAUGUCUCUCUCCAUAAACUUACUGGAAAUAUAUCCUCAUCUAUUAUCAUUUAUCUAAUAUCAAUUGGAAGAUCGCACUUUUUCAAACUAUCACUUCCAAGUCUCAUUGUCACUUGGCCAUUCUUGGACCAUUCAGAACCAAUCAAGUGUUGAAAUAAGUCGAGAGGGGGGGCAAAAUUAGAGUCACAAUUUUUGGUCCCCCAAAUUCUAAUUAUAUAACUUCUAUAUAUUUCAUUGCCAGGUCACGAACUUGUUGGCACAUUUUCCAAAUUCCUCUUCCAUCAACUCUCACACGUUAACUUAAGUGGAAAGUUUCCAAGUUGAUUGCUAGAAAGCAACGCAAAAUCAGACACGCUUGACCUGUCCCCUAAUUCUCUUUUCUACGUUGAAAAAGAAAAAAAAAAUAUAUAUAUAUAUCUAUGUAAAAAUAAAUAAUAAACUGAAUAAAAGUACAUUUGUUUAAUUAACAUCUGAUCGUGGCAUUUUUGGUGUAAUUUCGUGCUGUGUAAGCCACAACUAAAAUCAAACAGCCCCUUAGCAUACUUCUUCCAUUUUAUCUGGUACUUUUGUGGAUCUUAUAGGGUGGGCAUGUGGACAGAAUUUAAAAGUUUUAAUAGUCUCAAAGAAUAAGAUAUGUUAAAGCUAAAGUUGUUGCACCUUCUAAUUAAAUAAAGUUGUACAAUUUCACCAACUUGGAAGAAUUGACAUUAAUGGACUGGUCCCUUCUCCAUAUAUGAAGCCUUCUUAAAAGUUAAUUUUUAUUUCAGAAAAAAAAAGUUAAAGUUACAUAUAUUAUAGUAAGAUUUUUUGAGACCAAUUCCCUUCUUGAAAUAAUAAUGGAAAAGUAUUAAUUUAAUAAUAAAAUGAAUAUGUAUUGAUUAUAUCUUGAUUUUCAUCGAUUAUAGUGAGAGUUUCUCCAAAUCAAUUCCCUUAUUCAAAUAAUAUCGAAAAAAUAGUAAUUUAAUAGUAAAAUAAACAGGUGUUGAUUAUAUAUUCUAAGUUUCAUCGAUUAUGUGAUCAAAGUGGCAUUGUUGAUUUAUUUCUUGUUCAAUGUUAAUUUUUAGGUUAUCUAAAUUUCAAGGAUUUAAAAUCUUUGAUCAUGGAUUACACGCUUGUUAAUUUUUCUGCCAUUGACUAUCAUAUUCUAGACUUAAUGAUACCUUUCUUGAUCAAGGGUAAUUACUCUCUCUUCUCCUCUUAUAAAUUCCUCUUCCAUUAACAUCACUAGGAGUAUGUUGAUCUCUUACAAAACAACAAAAGAACUAGACACACUUGAUCUGUCUAAUAAUUCUCUUUCGGUAAAAUUAAUUAAUUUUAGGGGAAUAUUCGACCAACCUCUGUAAUUUUAGAGUGAUCAUUAAUUAAUUAAACGAUACAAAUAUCUAAAGUGAUUAGAUGUUUGCUGACAAUGCAAGUUCAUGACUUGAAAUUUGAUCUCUAUCGAUUGGUUUACAAAUGGACAUACUUGUGCCUUUGUGGCGAUAAUCGAACAAGUUCCAAUGAUUAUUAUUUUUUCCAAAAACUUUUUUACAACAAAUUCAUCUCGCCAAAAAUUCUAUGUUGCUAGCUAACAAUAAUUGAGCACUUGGCCGCAUUGACUCCACGUCUCCACCUCUUUCUAAAUUCUAAGUAAAAACAUGGAAAUGUAAUUUCCACAAAAUGCCAAACGUGUGGAAUUUAAUUUUUUGCCUUGUGGAUCAAAAUACAAAUGAAAGAAACAGGAAAAAAAAAAAAGGCCCAAAGACUUCUAAAAGAUGAAGAAGUCUUUGGGCCUUUUUAUAAUGGUGGAUUUUUUAAAAGAAAAAAAUAACAACACUUUUAUGGUUGGUUUUGAUAAUCAUAUGUGCGUAUAUACUCUCUAAUUUUCAAAAUGGACACAUAAAUCUUUUUUUUUCACAAAAUAUAUAUUAUUCAUAUUUUUUAUUUUUUAUUAUCAUAUUUUUAUUUAUUAUAAAUGUUUAGAGUAAAUUUUUAGGUUGAAAUAUAAUAAAAGGGUAUAAUCGUUCUCUUAUUAAACACACAUACUUUUAUUAGUUUCUAUGCAUUUGUCAUCUCAAUCUCUCUCAAUUAUUCUUUAUUGCUAGCUCAAAACACGUUGCUGUUGCAAAUUAUAGCAAAAUGACAAAUAUGGAAAAAAAGGGAAGAAAAUUAAUGCAUGAAAGACUUGGAGAAAACAACAAAAUAAGCCAACUAUGAGCUAGUUGGGUGUAUAAAUUGUUAGAUGUGUUAUAUACAAAUAGCAUAGAGCCCUCUAGUUGGUUCUAGAGACAGAAAGAGCGUGUGUGUUUUUUCACAGUUAGAGAUAUAGUUAGAAUGGGUGGCUCAAAAUCAAAAAUGAUGAUAAUGUUUAUUAUGUUAUUAAUAAUAUUUAAAAGUGGGUGGAGUGAGGGAUGUUUGGAUCACGAGAGAUUUGCUCUUUUGCGACUCAAACAUUUCUUCACUGGUCCUUGUAAUUAUCUUUACGACUGGGUAGAUGGUGAGGGAGCUACUGAUUGUUGUCAGUGGGAAAGGGUUGAGUGCAGCAACACCACAGGCCGAGUGAUAACGCUAGACCUUUUUGACACGUAUGGGGGAGAGCACAACUGGUAUCUGAAUGCUUCUUUGUUUACUCCCUUCCAACAACUUGAGUCACUUGAUUUAACUUACAACAAAAUAACCGGUUGUGUUGAGAAUGAAGGUGCUUCGUUUAAUUUAAUUAAUUUACUUUCUCCCCCCUAAUUUAAGUUGAAUAUCAAGACCGAGCAAUUAUAUGCAUAUUCAUUCAGUUGACAAUUUUGACUUUUUUUUUAAAGAUUAAUUUUGAAAUUACACUAGUAUCUAUGAUCCUUUUUUUUUUUAUUUUACUUGCAGGUAUAGAGAGGCUAUCAAGAUUGAACAACUUGAAGAUGCUUAAUUUAAGUGAUAACUCGUUCAACAAUAGCAUUUUAUCAUCACUAACUCAUCUUUCAUCAUUAAGAUCAUUAAAUUUAUAUGGGAAUAGAUUAGAAGGAAGUAUUGACGUUAAAGGUACAUAAUUAAAACUUCAUCCCUUCUCCAAGCUCUUUCAUUAACUUGCUAAAAUAAGAUUCAAGGCUUUGAAUUCAAUUUUUUUUAUGAUUAGUAUUAAAAAAAAACAGUUUUAAGCAAUUUAUAAAUACAAGUUUUAAUCUUUCUCAUAAUUUCAUCUUGUACUUUCAUGUGUCUUGAAUUUAAGAUUAAAAAGAAAUCUAAUAGCAAACCAAACACCUCCACAACUUAUUAUUAUUAUUAUUAUUAUUUGCGGUGAGGUUUGAAACAUUCAACUCAAUUUGUACUUAUUACAGAAUUUGAUUCUUUGAGAGAUUUAGAGGAGCUAGACAUUGGCGAGAACAAGAUUGACAAAUUUGUGGUCUCAAAAGGUACUACAAAUACCAUAAAAAAAAAUGCUAACUUAUACAAAUUAGUUGGAUUCUUGGCCAUUUGGUUUAUUAUUUUACAGGUUUGAGUAAGUUGAAGUCUCUCUGUUUAAGUGGUAUCAAACUCAAUCGUAGCAUCUUCGCUUCUCUUUCUUCGUUAAGAGAAUUAGAUAUAAGUUAUACGGGAUUCAAAGGAACAUUUGAUGUUCGAGGUAAGUCUAAGCCUUGCUUUCUCAUUUUAUAUAUGCGAACUAGAUUUGUGUAUCAUCGACAUAAUUUAAUAUUUAAUUUAAUAAGUCUGAAGGUAUUACAUGCUAAUUUAAACAUACUUUUAUUUACUUUGUCAAUUAAUUAAUUAAUUAAUUAAUUACUAUUUGGCUUGGUUUGGACGAAAUUCUCAUGAUGUUUUAAUUUCUUUAAAUUAAUUAAUUAAUUAACUCUGUUUUUAAGUCUUAAGUCUGGGCAUGUUUGCAGAAUUUGAUUCCUUCAAUAACUUAGAAGUGUUGGACAUGGGAUACAAUGAAAUCGACAAUCUUGUGGUUCCUCAAGGUAAACAAUUAAAAUAUUAUUCAAUUACAUUAUUUUAAUUCAUUUGAUUAGAGAAGGCCAAAAAGGUCCCAAAAAAAUUAAUAAUAAAGAAACAGAUAAUUUGUAUUAUUUAAAAAAAACAGAAUGUAAUAAAGAUUUGAUUCCAGUUCUUUAAUCUUUAAAGCGAUUGAAAAACAAUGUUGCUCUUUUCCCAAAGUAUAAAAUACGAAUUGAAUGCCAAUUAACUUAAUCAUUCAUUUCGUUUAGCUCUAAAUUUAGACAAUGAAUUUUUAUAUUAUUUCAAAAACAGGACGUAAUAGAAUUUUUUUAAAAACAGAUUGUAAUGAAGAUUUGAUUCCAAUUUUUUAAUCUUUGCAGCGAUUGAAAAACCAUACCGCUCUUUUCCCAAAGCAUAAAAUACGAAUUGACUCCCAAUUAAAUUAAUCAUUUAUUUUGUUCAUCUCUGAAUUUAAAUAAUGAAUUUUGAUCUUCAAUCAUAUUCUAACUACUAUUAAAAAACAAGUUACAAAGGUUUGAGGAAGCUGAAAAGCCUUGAUCUAUCGGAAGUUGAAAUUAGAGAUGGAAGCAAGUUGUUACAGUCGAUGGGAUCAUUCCCAUCCCUCAACACUCUUUACCUGAAGGAUAAUAAUUUUACCGAUAUAGCGACAACUACUACUCAAGGUAAGUAAAAGGUACAGAUGUGGCCAAAUUUAUAAAUAAAUUGUUAAUUAAUUAAUUUUUCCGUAUUAUUAAUUAAGCUAAAUUCGUUGCUCCUUCCUUCUAAAUCUAAACAGAGUUGCACAAUUUCACCAACUUGGAAUAUUUGACAUUGACCGGUUCCUCUCUCCAUAUAAGCCUUCUGCAAAGCAUUGCAUCAAUAUUCCCUUUGUUAAAAAUUUUGCCGAUGAUUGGUUGUGAAGUCAAUGGCAUCCUACGUGGUCAAGGUAAAAGAAAAGCGUUGAAUGUGCACUCACUGAGUGUUGUCCUACGUGUUCAAUAUUUUCAUUUAUUCAUUUUAUUGUUUAAUGUUUCUGCUAGGUUUUACUCAUUUCAAGAGUUUGGAACAUUUGGACAUGGAUUACGCGCUCAUUGCACUCAACACCAGCUUUCUUCAAAUCAUCAGUGAAUCGAUGCCUUCUCUUAAGUACUUAUCACUAUCAAAUUCUACUCUUGGCACUAACAGCAGCAGGAUUCUUGAUCAAGGUUAAUCAGAUGCUCCCACCCCCCUUCUUAAUCUAUAAUAUUAAUUUUCAAUUAAAUAUUUAAUUACACAAACGAAUCACUUAUUAUAAAAGAAUAAUACGCAUUCAUUAAUUUUUAUAUUGUAUUAAUUGAUGAAUUUAAUAAAUUUUCAGGCCUCUGUUCGUUGAUGCAUCUGCAAGAGUUGUACAUUGAUAAUAAUGAUUUAAGAGGUAGCUUGCCUUGGUGCAUGGCAAAUAUGACAUCCCUCCGAUUAUUAGAUGUUUCUUCCAAUCAACUUACGGGAAGCAUCUCCUCAUCUCCCCUCGUUCAUUUGACAUCCAUUGAAGAGUUGAUGCUUUCAAACAAUCACUUCCAGAUCCCAAUUUCACUUGAACCACUUUUCAAUCACUCAAGACUCAAGAUUUUCAAUGCUUAUAACAAUGAAAUAAAAGCUAAAAUAACUGAGUCACAUUCUUUGAUCGCCCCAAAAUUCCAAUUAAAUACACUCUUGUUGUCUUCCAGUUACGGAGACAGUUUCAUAUUCCCCAAAUUCAUUUACCAUCAACAUGACCUGGCGUAUGUUGAUCUCUCACACAUAAAGAUGAAUGGAGAAUUUCCAACUUGGUUGUUGGAAAACAACACAAAAUUGAGCCAACUUUCUGUCGUCAAUGAUUCUCUUGCAGGACCUUUUCGGUUGCCAAUUCAUUCACACAAGCAGUUAAGACUGUUGGAUAUAUCCACCAACAACAUCCGAGGCCACAUUCCAGUAGAAAUUGGAGAUGUUUUGCCACGUUUAUACGUUUUCAACAAUUCCAUGAAUGCUCUAGACGGUAGCAUUCCCUCUUCAUUUGGUAAUAUGAAAUUCCUCCAAAUUCUGGACUUAUCCAACAAUCACUUGACUGGUGAAAUCCCCGAGCACUUGGCCGUGGGUUGCGUCAACUUGCAGGCUCUUGCAUUAUCAAAUAACAACCUACAAGGUUACAUGUUCUCUAGAAAUUUUAACUUGACAAACUUGAGAUGGUUACAAUUGGAGGGCAAUCGAUUCGUAGGUGAGAUCCCACAAAGUUUGUCUAAAUGCUCCUCACUAGAAGGAUUGUAUAUUAACAAUAAUAGUCUUUCGGGUAAGAUUCCACGAUGGUUGGGUAAUCUCACAUGGUUACAAUAUAUUAUAAUGCCCAAUAAUCAUCUUGAAGGCCUUAUUCCAGUGGAGUUUUGUCAGCUUGAUUCGCUUCAGAUUUUGGACAUUUCAGACAACAACAUAUCUGGAAGUUUACCAUCUUGUUUCCAUCCUCUCUCUAUCAAACAAGUUCAUCUUUCAAAAAAUAUGUUACAUGGACAACUAAAAAGAGGUACAUUCUUUAAUUGCUCUUCCCUUGUGACAUUAGAUCUUAGCUAUAACCGCUUGAAUGGCAACAUUCUGGAUUGGGUUGAUGGGCUUUCUCGGUUAAGCCACCUGAUCUUAGGUCACAAUAAUCUUGAAGGUGAAGUGCCAGUUCAAUUGUGCGAAUUGAACCAACUACAAUUGUUAGAUCUUUCUAAUAAUAAUCUUCACGGUCCUAUUCCUCCUUGCUUUGAUAACACCACACUUCAUGAAAGUUACAGCAAUAGUUCUAGUCCUGAUGAGCAAUUUGAAAUAUUUUUUUCCAUCGAAAGCCCUGUGGGAGAUGUAAAAGAGCAAAUCCAUGAAAUUUUUGAGUUAACAACAAAGAACAUUGCGUACAUUUACCAAGGAAAAGUGUUUAGCCUCCUAUCAGGACUUGAUCUUUCUUGCAACAAGCUAAUCGGUCAUAUUCCUCCUCAAAUUGGAAAUUUGACAAGGAUUCAAACAUUGAAUCUAUCGCACCAUAACUUGACAGGAUCGAUCCCAUCAACAUUUUCAAACUUGAAGCAUGUCGAAAGUUUGGAUCUUUCCAACAACAAAUUGAAUGGAAAAAUCCCUUAUCAACUAGUGGAGUUAAAGACAUUGGAGGUUUUCAGUGUGGCAUACAAUAACUUAUCAGGCGAAAUUCCAGAAUGGAAAGCACAAUUUGCAACCUUCAACGAGAGUAGCUAUGAGGGAAAUACUUUUCUUUGUGGACUGCCAUUGCCCAUUUGCAGAUCACCAGCAACUACGCCGGAGGGUUCAAUCGGCAAUGAACGAGAUGAUAAUUUAAUUGACAUGGACAGUUUCUUUAUCACAUUUACAACAUCGUACGUAAUUGUGAUAUUCGGAAUUGUUAUUGUUUUAUAUGUAAAUUCUUAUUGGCGACGUAAAUGGUUUUACUUUGUUGAAAUGUGGAUAACUUCAUGUUAUUAUUUUAUUGUAGACAAUCUUAUUACAACAAGAUAUUGUCAUUGAAAUUAAUUAGCAGUUUAAUUACGAUUCUUUAAGUUCUAAUCAAGUUUGCACUUGAUCGCCUAUUUUACUUUAAAAAAUAAUGAUUAUGGUGCUAUCAUCAUCUUCUUCACUAGCAACAUUAACACCAAAUCCAGCGAUGGACCCAGACAUUUUAUCAAGAUAUCCACCAUAACUUAUACUUCCCUAUACUGUGCAGCCUACUUAAAUAAGAGAACCAUCUCCAAUGUUAAAACCAGCCACUCUAUAACAUUCAUUUAGAAACUAUAUUUAGAACUCUCCAAUCCACCCACCAGAAUUUCAUAUCUCCUCAACAAUUUUAAGAACUAAAGAUAAUUAGGAUAUAACAUUAGUUUUUUAUAUAUUAGUUUCAUAAUUUACAAAUCAAUGAAGAUGAAGAUUAUGUUAAUGAAUUCAAAUUAUACCAUACAUUCUCGAGAUGCUACCAAAAAUUUCUAAGUCAAUCCCACAUAUUUCAUAAUUUUAAGACUAGAAAAUUUCAUUAGGUAGAAGUUUCAUUACCUUCAAGUGGAAGAUGAAGAACAUUAUACAAUUGAUUCAGAUUAUAUCAUACAUACUCCAAAUGCAACUAGAAAUUAACAAGUUCAUGCGCACAGAUUUCAUAACAUUAUGAAUGGAAAGUUUCACAAAGAGAAAUUAUAAAUUCAAUCUCUUGCAUCAAGGUAGUUUGAUUGAUUUGAGUUACUUUCUGAUCAAGCUAUUAAUAUAACAUUCAAGUCAGGGAGAAAGUAAAUUAAAACUGGGAAGAAAUAACAGUAAAAAUUUGUUGCUAAACAUGAUGUGUAUUUUUUUUUUAAGGCAAUUUGGAAACACAGUUGUUACUACAGAUAUUCUCCUCAACUUAGAGAUAAUACAAAUAUUAAAAUGCAUAUGAUCGCACAUAUUACUUUGGAAGCUUAGUAAGAUUUCAUUAAGAGAAGCAAAUCAAACCACUUAUUUCAUUGUUGCAUCGUUCUAUAAGCUAAAAUAGCAAUAUAAUACAAGAAAAAGAACAUAUAGAUACUUGGCAAGAGUUCAUUAAGAAGUCGCAUCACAUUCGGGUGAGUUUGCUUCUGAUAUCUUGCUAGCUGGGGCUUUUUCUUGUCUUUCUAUGUAUGCCGAGGGAAACCAACCAGCUUGGCCCUUGCAUUCACCUUCCGACCAUCCAGUAGGAGCCACCUUGAGAAGUUAUAACUAAAACAGUGAAUUAAACAACAGUUGACCAUUCAAAGACCUAAGGGGAAAACUAAUUCUUUUACGUAGGAAGAGUGAAUUAAUUCUGAUCACUGAAAUAACAGCAUAACUAUGGAAGCCUAAAAAGAUAUAAAUUCACACGUCUAUAAGGGUAAACUGGGUGGUUUAGAACUGAGCUAGCAACCCUACCAUAUUCUGAUUUGCACUUCAAUGUAAAAGGGAAUAUAUGGUAUGAAGAAAGAAAACCAACCAUCAUUUGUUAACCCAUUGCUUUUCAAUCAAAAUUUUAAGAACAAAAUGCCAUGUGCUUUGAACAUCAAAUAAGUAUAAGCAUUAGUUCUAAAUUCCACAUAUCAUAAGUUAGAAGGAUAAGUUAAUAGCAUAGUAGAAAAAUCUGUGUUGUUAUUUAGAGGGGAAAGUACCUGGCGAACCACAACAUAAUCAUCAAUUGAAAGACUUAACUCUCCAUUUGCUUGAGCAUCAAAUGGAUGUAUAACCUGCAAGAUAAUGGGAUAAAUAGAACUUAAUCUCAAAAAAAGCAUAACAAAAGCAGCAACAGUAUCAGCAGCGUUCAUUGUAACCACUAUGAUCAUGGCCAACAAAGAUAUAUUAGAAACAAAAUUCCAUUUUUACUACGGCAUUAAUAUGCACUAUAUGAUAUCAUGACGAUUGGGUUACCAAGAGCUAUCAAAGUCCAAUAAAUUCUGUAUAACUUUAUGUAGUUAUUCAAAUUAUGGAUCAGAUUUUAAAUCUGAAAUUUUGACUGCUCUCCACAAAACAUGGCCUAUGCACAAGAAGGUCAUAGAUAAUGAGGAUUACAAGUGUUUGACAUCUUUAGAGUGAUGGAUUUAAGAUGACAGCUUAUGGUCAGUCAAUUUCCUCCGCCUAGCAAUAUAAGCUUUCUCGGCCGGAUUUAUCAUCAAAUAUAUAGAUUGCCCCCAAGUCACAUCCAUAUAAACAUAGUUUUUCUAGGUAAACCAAGUAAGGAGAAUCAUAAUUCAGACAUAAUCAUAAAAAGGCCCAUCUAACUUAAGAGAAAAUCUCAAAAAGAGGAAUGUUGAGCUAUCAUUCUUGUAUCUAUAAGCAAUAUCAAGACUUUACAUCACCUGCUACAUCGUGAGUGGCUACACAACUUUCAGUGGUUUGUCUUUCUUUGGCAUGCCUAACUCAGCUUUGAUGUUGCUGAGAUAUUGAUGGUAGAGACACAUGAUACUUCUAGCUCAUGCAUUCUAUCUAGCUCAUUCGACAGCUAUCUCUUUUUUAAUUCAUUAGUGUUUGCUAAACCUCAU
rnacentral:lncRNA from 1 species